CCGCCCAGCCGCCCUCCUGCCUUGAGCCGCCCUCCUGCCUUGAGCCGCCCAGCGCCCUGUGCCCGGGCAGGUGAGGCGGCACGGGGAGGUGGCUCCGGCGGGCCCGGUGGGAGCGGGCUGGGGCGAGGGUCCGGGGUCCCCGGGGAGGGAGUUCGGGGUUCCGGGAGAGGGUCCGGGGAGGGUAUCUGGGGGUCUGGGGAGAGAGUCCGCGGACGGAGUCCUGCGAGGGGGACCGGGGCCGCCGGAGAGGCGGUCCCGGGGUCCGAGGAUCUGGGGAGACUCGGGGAGGCGGAUCGUGGUCGAAGGGGAGGAGGUCCGGGAGUCCUGGGAGGGAGUCUGGGGACAGAGUCGAGGGUCUUGGGAGAGAGCCUGGCAGGGAGGCCGGGGAGGGAGUCUGAGGGUCUGGGAAAAACUCAGGGGAGGGGGUCCGGGGGUCUGCGGAGUCUGGGGAGGGAGUUCGGGGAGGGGAAUGGGGACGCCGGGGACAGUGGCCAGGGUCUCCAGUGCAGCAUACGGGGCUUGUGGGCGGUUCCAGAGCGGCUUCGGGUGGGUCCUGACCUGUGCGUCUUGCUGGUACCCUUGUGGACCGCUCUGGGCCAGGGGCGUCCCCUUGUUCACUUGUUGGCUGCUGUCAGGUGUGGUUCCCGUGGCUCCACGGUGGACCCUGCCUUCCAGCCGCUGCUGGAGACUUUAAGCGCCUGUGCAUAUCCUCUGCCUUUUCUGGAACUUGUGCAAGGUGCCUUGUGGGUACAGGGGGCUAGGUACAUCCCAGGGAGUUCCAGGGGGCUCUGAUCUGUGCCGUCUUUGGGGACUUACCCCAGGGGCCACCUGUUAUUCUCAGAUUGGCAUCUCCUUCUCCCUUGGCCCUGGGAACUCGUACCAUUUUGUUCAGGAUGGCAGCCAGUAGCCACAUAAAGCUUUUAAAAUUGACCUUAAAGUGAAGCCACAAUGACUGGUGGCUGCUGGAUUGCAGAGUGCUGAUAGGGACACCAUGGAAAGUUCUGUAGGUUAGGGUGCUGCUCCUCACCCUGUCAGGCUCCAUUCCAGCCAUACAUGGUACCUUUUCCUUGAUUGAACCCCUUACUGUCCUUCCCUUAGGUCCCAGCCUGCAGACAGAUCCUAUCCUCUGCAGGUAUGGGCUCCUGGUCACUGGCUUAACUUCCUGCCCUGCCUCCUGGUAUUUCCCAUCUUGCUGCAUCUUUCCCAGCCCUUCUUAUUUGACCAUUGCUACCUUUCUGGUUGUUUUCUGUCUUUAGUGUCUGUGAGGCGGAGAUUGGGAUUGUUCCUUACCAUCCCUCAAUGUGGGCACAGUAGUAGGUGGAAAGAUACAAAUGAAGUUUGUUAAUAGCCUCGGGUGGUUAGACCACACUGUGAUGUGGUUCAGCCUGGUACACUGUAGGUCCUUGGUAGAGAUCCUGGGCAGCGCAUGGCGGCACACACAGGGCAGUGCAGGGUCAGGAGCCAGGCUGUGCUUACAGAUGGCUGUGGGAGGCUGGUGGAACCUAGAAGGCUUUCUGCUGGCUGGGUCUGCUCCAUCCCUCACCUCAGCUGACAUGGUCUGUGCACAUCCAGCACCCUUGGCUGCCCUGACUGCCCAGCCUCUCUUUUCUGGGCACACCUCAGGCCUGGUCCUCUGCAGGCACUGGAGUGACAACUUAGACCCGGGCAGGCAUCUAGGUGUGGGGCUCAUGGGCAGGCAGGCUUCCUCAAGUCCCUUCCAAAGCUUCUCGCUGCUGGUAGGGUAGGUCAGGAUGUGGCUUCUGCCCAGGAUUCCAGCCACAUCAUUCAGUUCUUGCUUCAUGUGUCACAGCAACUGUAGAGGUCCUUGUUUUCUGCACACUGCAUGGCUUUUCUUAUGCGUGUGGGCGUGUGUGCUGAGCUGCCACUUGGAAUGCCCUUGUACUUGCAUGUUUGUCUCAAGCACUUCCACCCUGGUUGCCUUUGUGCCCUGAGCACCCAGCCUAACAUCCAGAGCAGGGUGGGCACUGGGCAGGUUUUGAUGAAUGAGUGAGCUGUGAGAGGAGAAGGUAGGAGGAGAAGUGCAGGUAUGGAAGUUCAAGAUUUGGGAACCUCCAAGCAGGAGUUCCCAAGGGGAGAAAAGGUGCACAGACCGUGACCACAGGUGAACCUAGCCAUUCACAGCAAGACUUCAGUAUGUGGUGGUGGCCCUGGAGAGGGUCUUCCCAGGUUGUGGAGUUUAAAUCAGGCUGUGUGGCCGAGGUCUGGUUGGCAGACAGGAGGGUCAUUUUGCAGGCGUUAACAUUGAUUAUACUAUUCAUACCCACUUAGCAGUCCCCCUGGGGGAGGGCCUGCUGCCAUCCCCAUUGUAUUGAUGAAGAGUCUGGGCCAUCGGAAGAUGAACUGGCUGAAUCCCUUAACUGAAGUUCUAAGACACCGUCCACUAGACCUGGAUGUUAUGUACUGCUUCCGAGGUUGUUGGGCAUUUUAUCAUUCCAAUUUUUUUUUUUUUUUAAAUGAACAAGGUGUUCCUGUGGUUGUGGGAUUUGUUUUGGUUGUAUGAAUGGAAUUCGGCCUGUGUGGCUCAGUCCAGCUGUAAUGCAUUAUGUUCCUCAGACUCUGACUUUAGUGCAACAUCUGUAACAAUGGGCUGGUUAACAGCCGAGCGUGACCAACUUUCUGACUACUCUGUUGGCCAUCAUGCCCGAUGCCGCCUGGCUCCUGAGUAUUUGAUCGAUGUGUGGAUGGGGUACCAAGUGACCAAAAGACUAAAGGGGAGAAAGAGUGGACAGAUUGGAAGGGUGCAAGGCCAGACUCUUCUUCAGGGGUUAUUUUCAGUUGUUGCCUAUUAAUUCUGAUGUUUGGGUUUGCAGCAUCUGUAUCCUGUCCUACUGGGGUAUACUGAGGCCAGCAGGGAAGGUUUAUUAUCCCCAGAUUUUUGGUGAGAAGUUGGACUGCAGUUAUUCUCUGACUCCCUAUCUGUCACUGUGGCUCAGGACCUGUGAGACCUGGCCCUGGUGGAUAUUUGAAAUGUGUGUGGCUGGGUGGGGGGUGUCAUGGCACAGUUGACCCUGAACUUACACCAUUCUUACUCCAAUAUGCUUUGUGAAUACUGCUCAGGAGCCAUUGAGAACCUUCUAUAGGAAGAGUUGUCUUGGCCUGAGUCCUUUGGUAUAGAAGGUGUGACUUACCAAUAAGUCCAAAGUUCUGUAAGAGUUUCCUGAAGAUGGUUGAGGUGGUGCCCUUGCUGGAGGAGCUGACUUGGGCUGGGGCUUCUGAGGAGGCCUUGACUCAGGCUGCUGGGUCUGCCAUCCAGGGCUGUCCUCAGAGCCUGUUGCAGCUGUUUCUUAGGCCUUAUCCCUACUAUAGGAUUCUCCGAGUGCAGGGUGGGGUGAGGAUGACUCUGCUUGUCUUACCAGAUUGCAUUGGGUAGACUCCUUCCUGGCAUGGGUGGGCUCUAUUAGGACUUGAACCUGUUUUGUGGUCACCACAGGCAAGCAAGGAUGGUCUGCUAGGGUGGUCUCCCUACCUGGACAGGGUCAUUGGCAGGGCCCCAGCCACAGCCCUUGUGGUCAGGACCUCUAUCUGAAAAGAUGAGAGUUUUGUGUGAGGAUAGUCUCAGAUCAUUAUCUUGCAUGGGGUCAGUGGCCAGCAGGAAGGGGCUGCCUUGUAGUCUCUCCUGCUCUCACUGGGGACACUGCUGCUCACCUGACAGAGUAAGGACAUAGAGAGUUGUCAGUGAGGGGGCACAGAGAGGGCACCCACCCCGUGUGUGGAGCUGUGGGAAGAAGUGGGGGAGGGCUCUGGGUCAGACUCCACCCAGGGCCUGUGGCUGUCGCUAACAGUGUCCAGGUCUGUCUGGGCCCAGGGCUUGGCAUUGUAUGGCAGGGUUGUCGUGGUAGCAGCACCAUACCCACUUUGGUGGAUCGAUGGACUAGCUGGGGGCAGUUGAGUCCUUCUUGGGCUGGCAGCCGGGGCUGCUGGUUAUCCUGGUUGUAAGCACCAAUGACAAGGCAGGAGGCCCUGCUGGAGUCAAUCAGGGAUGUGGCAGCAGAAAAUGGGGCAGAAAAUGGCAGCAGGCUGAAGCAAGAGUCUGGGUUGUAUAGGCUUCAUUUAGGGUGGGACUGCAAGGUAGCUCCUGGGUAUGGGUGGGAUAGUAGUGUGAAUGGGGAAUUUCAGGUUCAAGUUCCUUUUUGUUCCUUUACUCUGGCCGAGGCCUGGGCUUUUAAAUGACAAAAGCAUCGAUUUUACCCCAGAUAAGACUGGUGGGGGAACUGGCCAGAGGGGAAAUGUCCUUGGACUAGUCUCCAUGUCCUUCACUGGGUCCCUGGGUUCUCAGCUAUGGGAGAGUGGCCUUCCCUGACUGGAAAUGAGUGAGCAGGGGUAGGUGGUUCUGCGGGCCCUGUGAGACCCCGGCCAGGUGUUCUGGCCCAAUAAACCUUUAUUAUUUUUUUCUGCUGGAUUGAUAGAAGAUUGUAUUGUUUUCUGCCUCUGAUUUUGUUAGCACAGAAGGACUGGGCCAGACAGACUUCAUGGAUGAGCACAGCUUUGUUCAGGGCGGAGUGACGCCUCUGAUGGACCCACUUUCUUGGUGGAAAAUGAACCACUGGCCAAAGAGGGAAUUUAGGCUUAUAUAGGUUAUACUGAGAGGUGACUCAGUUAAUGGGCUUGUCAGUUUGGGCCAGAUGGAGGGUGUGGGGUCAGUGGUCAAUAUCUGGGAAAGUUUAGGGAUAUCUCUUCCUGAGGCUUGUCUUGUCACUGGGAAAAAUUGGUGAAGGAUCAGUGUAUUGAAGGAUAUGGAGAAUAAGUUCAAGGACAUUUCCCUAAGCUUUUGUCAUUUUAAAACCCAGGCCUUGGCCAGAGUGAAUAACCCAAAAGGAACUCACUGGCACCUGACCCCCACCCAAAUGGGUCAGCUGACCCCAUACCAUAAGCCCCAGGAAAUUCCCUAUUCACACUACUGUCCUAUCCUAAUUAACCAGCCAACCCCAAUACAUUGGACCCCCUAAAGUACCCUCCUGUCUCACCCUGAACAAAGCCUGAAACCCAGACCCUUGUUUCAGCCCUCUGCCAUUUUCUGCCCAGUAGGCCAGGUGUUUGACCCGUCCUCUGCUGAAUCCUGAAUAAAGAAAACCUUGCUGAUCCACAGUCCUUCCUGAGCCCUGCUCUUGCUCCCAGUAGCUUCCAUGGGGUGGGUGACAGCAUGGCCAUCUCAGAGGCAUGGAUGCUCAGGGCCUUUUGAGAUAUCACUUGAGGGAUUUGAAGCCAGAUUUAAAGAUAGAUAGAUAGUGUAGCUAGGUAAAUUAGGUCUAAUAUUGAGUUUAAUAAAGAAAAUGGAGUCCAGUCUGAGCCUGGGAAGCCAGAACAACACCUGGGAGAUUGGAACGUUAAUGUUCCCAAGGCCCAGGUCCAUCCCAAAGAACUGUUAGUGAAGUAGCUCCCAGCAAAAUGGGGAGCCGCUAAUCAAAUCACUCCCCCAGCUCACUCCCCCCCAUUGUUUUCUACCUUCUGUCCUUCCCACCUGCAUCCCCCAUCACCUGCCAGAUAGAGGGAGACAGGCAAAAUAAAAUCAGGAAUGCAGGAAGACAAAAGAAGACCUUAGAUACGAAAGGAAGACCUUUCCUUCCCUGGAUCCCCUUCUCCCUGGGAGCUGGGGGCCUUUCUGCUGUCCUUUAAUAAAGCCUUACUUUCCACUCUACCCUGCCUCGCGUGCUUCUCUGGUGUUGUACUUCAGCCUUUGGGGAAGCAGGAGUCCUUACGGUAACAGGCCUGUCUGAUUUGGGAAGAACUCCCAAGGCAAAAAGGGACUGGGGGAGUUUAGGGAGUGCAGCCCCAGGCCCAGAGGGUCUGCCUUUCUUCACCCCCAAGGGGUGCAAGUCACUCUGCACAGUCCUCCAGAGUGCGGUCUGCUUUUCAUGGAUUGGGGUAGAACUGACCAUCGUUGGACUGUCAGUAGUUGGUACUACUGUUUACCAUCGGGUAUCUGCUGGCACCUGCUGCUGCUUUCUACAACCAGGUCGGCGGACUCCUGGGGUUGAGUAGCUUAUCCCAGGUAGGGCCAGGUCAUCACUUGAAGCCUCAGCCUACGUCCUGGGCACGUUAACCUGCUCUUGAUGGUCUAGCUCCUCUGGCCCUGUCACUCAUGGUGGGAGUCCUUGCGUGUACCGACUGCUGUGCCACCUGCCUGCCUUGUAUUCCUGUUCCUCUGCUUCUGGGAUGGCUAGGUUAGGAGAAGCUUUUCAAACUGGCAGGUGUGCUGGGAGCUGGAGACGUUGUUGGCCAUGGUGGCUAUUGUGUUGUUGAGGCCUUUGUACUGGCCUGCCUUCCCUGUCCAGGUGAUGUUCUUGAGAAUGUGGUACAGGUUUGAGGGCUUGGGGCGUCCUGGUGUGCAGGUUGGCAUUCUUGAUGGAGAGAAUGGGGCAGAACUCGGGAUUCCUUUUCCCAGGAGAUCUUGCUGUGAGGUAGGUAGAAGAAACUCAUGGUGGCUGUGGCUGGCCCCUGGCGGUGGAGGUGAUAAGUCCUUGAGUUGGGAAGCUCCAGCUCCAGGGCUGUAGGGCAGGUGCCAUACUCAGGGAAUCUGUCUGUUCAUGUCUGUUGCCUGGCCUUUCAUUGCCUGAGCCUGACCCUGGGUGUGGUCUGAGGAGUGCAGAUAGGCCUGUACCCAAGAAAUGCUGGGCUCUUAGAGUGGGAUGUGGUCUGGGGAACAUGAGGGCCAGGCGUCCCUGGGGGUCCCCAGGCAUCGAGUUCUAGUCAGGGAAUCAUGGCCACAGGGAGCACAAGGUCCUAGUCAGGGAAUCAUGGCCACAGGGAGCACAAGGAACUUGCCCUGGGCAGAGCUGGUGAGGAGGAAAAGGGGUGCAGCUCCCACCCUGUUCCACCUGACCAUCUUGGACUGCCCUCCGCCCAGAUCCACAAUCCUUUUAGGCCAUGUCUUUGGAAAGGAACAUAAUUUUAAAGCUGAAUCCCAGAACCUCUUCUCCCAACAUUAAAAAGCACACAACACAACCGCCCCUUCCUGGGCCUGGCUGCCCUUUCGGCAAAGGCUCUCAGUGGCAGUGCUAAUGAGUGGCUGGAUUCAUUUCUUGGAGUCUGGCCUCCUUCCCGUGCUUGUCACCCCCAGUGAGGGUGCUAAUGAGUGUGGCACGGGGGCAAGGCUGGGAGGAUGCUGGUUCUGUUUCUUCCUGGUACAGGAUCCAGUGAGUCUCGGUGGCAGGGGCUCCCAGCUGGUCUUCAGCCUCCAGCCUGAGCUCUUUAAUUCGCUCUUAAUGUUCUGGCUCCUCUGGCCUGGUGGUUGUCUGGCCCUGUUACUCCUGGCUGAGAGUCCUUAAGGGUGCCCUGUCCUUGCCACAUAAAGUCAGACUCUCACUUGGCAUUGCACUUUUUCCUUCCAGCCUUAGAAAUCUGUUGGACUGACUUCCCAAAGCUGCCUCCAGCCUGUCCUUGGGUGUCUGGUGGGGCUGUCCUCUACCUGGAAUGGCCCCGGCUGGUGAUCUCCCUGAGGAAGUCACCAUACUUGUUAAAGCAUGAGGAAGCCUGCCCCUGCCUGAGGGCCUGGCACCUUGACUGGCAUCUGUCUCCUCUGGGAAAGGCAAGGCAGAGAGAAGGCGCAAGGUAUCAAUAAAAUGUCUGGCCUGGCUCCUUCCGUGUGGACUCUGGGCGUUUGUUCCUGUGCUGGGUGCUGCCUGUAGGGCUGGGCAGGGUUUUUUUUUGCAUCCCCAAUAUAAGGAAGUGCACGUAGUAGGCACUCGGUAAGCACUCACUCAGGCCUGGGCACACAGCUGGAGGAGCACUGUCUUUUCAGCUUCAGCUUUUGGCCUCAGCCUCUGAGUGCCUGGGCUCUUCACCCCUCAAAAUGAUAGGGAGUGUUGAGGACCUGAUAACAGUAGGUGCUUGACGAGGGCAAUACUGCUUGCAGAGUGGUCCCCGAGGCCACACCCUUACCCCCCUUUUGCCGAAGGGAGCCUGGCUUGCAAAUCCUGCCCUGGUCUCGCCCUGUGGAGACUUGUCUCCAGGCCCGGCUUCUCUGUGCACCUUGCUGUGUGCACACAGCCCAGAUGCUGUGAAUGGAGGGGUGUCUGGCAGGGGAUGUGGCCAGGCCAUGCUGAUGGGUAGGAAGCGGUCAGUGCUGCAGUGGCCCUGAGGAAUGUCUCAUGGCUCAGAGCUUAGUGGGCUGGUGGUCCUGUUGCCACUGCUCAGAAGGAAGUGGAGUCCUUUUCUCUCUGGCCUGAGAGGUGAUGUGAUUUCCCAAGACCUUAUGUUAGGUGCAGAGGUGUGUGGUAGUGUCGGCCUGGAAUUCCAGAGACUAAUUGAGGUUAGCUUGGGCAACUUAGCAGGACCCUCUUCAAAAAUAAAAAGGGCUAGGGAUUGUUGCUCAGUGGUAGGGUGUCCCUGGGCUCAAUCUCUAGUAUUGCAAAAGAACUGAAACCCCCCAAAACAUGCAGAUAGCACUGGGAGUCAAAUCCGGUUGGGCCUUCUGGUCUACCUUGCUUUGCUCUCUGCAGGGGUCCAGGUCCUGGAUGGGAGCAUGGGGUUAGCUGCUUCUCAGGACCGUCAGGGCUCUAGUCACUUCUCUUCGAGCAGCAGCCUCUCCUGUUUACCAGAGCAACUCUGAUUUGGUCUGCUUGUCUGUGUGGUCAGGAGAUGGCUCACAUUCAUGGUCCAGGAGGGCUGCAGAGACUCUUGUAAUAGGCCUGGUGUCUUCUGAGUGCUGUUGGUAGGGUGGACUGAGAGCUGGGGACAGUGAGUGGCUGGGGCCAGAGCCGUCUGUCCCAGUGGCCUGCUGUGGGCUGCAGCCGUGUUCUGCUUCCAUUAUCCCAACAGGAUUUCUGGGUCUCUGCCCACCUGAGCCUGCUGCCUUGACACCUCACCUGUGUGUGUGGGCUGUGGAGGCUGGGGAAGGUCAGGGCCAGCAGUGUGGUCCCACUGAAGCCCAUGGGGCUGUCUUAUUUGGUGCCAGAGGCCUGAGUGUGCAGGUGAGACCAGGCAGCUGGUGGAUGUUGCUGUGAGGGGUGGCGUACAUGUGGGUGGACGGGCACAGGCCAGGUCAUGCUCACUGGCAGAUAGCCCCAGCUUUCAGUAGCCUGGAGGCAAAGGUCCAUGUCCGUUGGUAAUUUGGAAUUUGUGGCCAGAGGAGCCAAACGGCUGUACCCUCACUAGGAUGGGAAGCCCAGUGCCACCAUGCUCCCUUGACAGGAGGACUGGAAAUCGUGGGUGACUGAAUCAAGCAAUGCCCACGUGAUCCAUCUGGCCAUGUGGUGUUGUGGUUUGGACAGGCCACCCUCCUCCCUGGAUAAUCCCCCUGUGAGUCCUCUGGCACCCCCUCUGCCUCAGGAACAUUUAGACUAUGUGAGGGCUCAUGGAUCUUCUGCUGUGACCACCAGGAUGCAGGGUGGUGGAGGGGACAGAUCAGGCAAGUAUGGGUCUGCUCUUGGUUAGCUGGAACCCUGGCAGGGAGUUUGACGUUCAGGGCCAUUUUAAAAGAAAGGAAACCUUUUGUGGGCAGUUGUCGCUUCAUGCCCAGUUGUAAGGAGGCACUGCCUUCCCGAGCACCCUUGCCCAGCGUCUCCUGUAGUAGCAUCUUGGAGAACUAGCACAACAGUGUACCCAGGAGGGGUCCCUGGCUCUGUCACCAGAAGCCUCACUGGGGCGCGUGCCCUCUGGAGCCGUACCUGUUUUGUUUCCACCCACUGCUGCUUGGUGCCCAGGAGCCACUGUCCUUUCCCCACGUCUGCCACGUCGCUUCGAGUGUUGCCGGGUGGAGCCAAGCAAUGAGCCACCUCCAGAACUCACUGCUUCAUUUUCUGGAGCUGCUGCCUGGGCCGUGGUGGUUUGUAUGUUGCUGGGUCCUGUUCUGCAGCGUGGGUGGUCCACAGUUGAAAUAUGUGGCAGCCUCUUAUUUUAGUGUUUUGAAUUGUUCAGGUAAUUCAACAGUAAGAACAUGGGAAGAAGCACGCAGCGGGAAGUUCAGGUCUCCACAUCCCCACUGGUUAGGCUUGGUCUCCAUUGUGACUGUGUGGUGGCUUUCCCACACUUCCUUCCAGAGCCUCACGAUGCAGUCAGGAAAACGCUGCUGUGAAUCUUCAAGUUUCCUUCCGCCUUCCACAGGCCGUCCCCCGGUGGACUGCUGCCCCCACCUCCCACACACUCGGUCCUGCUGGGGAGAGAGUUCUUUGCAUCUGACCCAAAACUCCCUUUCCUUGUGCCGGCUCCUGUGGUCCAUGGUGUGGAUGUGCUCACACUAUGCGUCUCGCCCUCCAUGAUGGGCAUGUAGGACACGGUAGCCUUCUCUGCUCUGCUGCGCCUGUCUUGGCCCAGCACACAUGGGAGGAGCAGGUGCUGGGUCACAGGUGCGUGUCACGUAGCUCUCCAGGUGUUGAUGCUGUGCUGCACAGCCUGGCCAGUGGGUUUGCCAGGCUGGGUUCUGCGUCUUGGAGUGCACCUGCCUUUUGUUGUGAGUUGGGCAUCAUUUCAGGAGUGGAAACCAUUCAUGUUUCCCCUGUGGCCUUUCCUCCGGGGUGUGUUUGUGAAUGCUGGUGGUUGGUCUGUGCUGCAGCUUGGCCCCGGGAGGUCUGAGCUCAGCUGAUUUCCCUGCCUUGGGACACCUCCUGACCUGUUGUUUUGCCACUGCAGAAGCUUGUAAGGAGUCAGGUUGUGGGUUUUCAAGCUGAAGCUUUGGCUUUUGAGUUAUAGUUAUGGAAGGAGCUUCGAGUUUAUAAAGGAGUCUUGCAUUUUCUUCUAGUUUCUGUUGUUCCACUUUUACAGUGUCGACUGAUUUGUCUGUGUCCUGGUGUGCAGAGUGAGCUGUAGCUCUGAUUUUGACUCUUUCUGGAUGACUUCCCGGUUGUCUCCUCCAGACCACGGGUAACUCACAUCUCCUGCUGAUUCUCUCCUCCGGCAGAGUCACAUGCUGAAUUUCCAUUUCGGUUUAGGUGGGUUUCUUGCAGGCUGUUCCGUUGGCUGAUGUGCAUCCUAGCUGGUAUUGUGAUUAUUAAAGCUUUGUGCUACUUUUUUUUAAAGAGAGAGAGAGAGAGAGAGAGAGAGGUUUUUUUAAAAAUAUUUUUCAGUUUUCAGUGGACACAACAUCUUUAUUUUAUUUUUAUGUGGUGCUGAGGAUCGAACCCAGCGCCCCGUGCAUGCCAGGCGAGCACAUUACCACUUGAGCCACAUCCCCAGCCCAGCUUUGUGCUGUUUUAAUACAUCAAAGAAUUCAUUGCUUUUUAAAUUUUUUUUUUAGUUGUAAGUGGACACAAUGCUUUAUUUUUACUUAUUUAUUUUUAUGUGAUGCUGAGGAUGGAACCCAGUGCCUCACCCGCGGUAGGCGUGUGCUCUACCACUGAGCCCCAGCCCCAGCCCCCGAAUUCACUGCUUUUUUGUCAGAUUUUUUGAGCCUAUCUGGUUCAUUUAUUUUGACAUAGGAACUUUAAAUUUGCUUGUCUGUUCUUCAUGCAGGCCUUCCACUGGAAACACAGAUGCUGACACUCAUGUACACAACACACAGCACUAACCCCAAACCUGGUGGGUUUUGUCUUGGAAUUGGGUUAAACUGAUAAACUAGCGCAGGGAGAGGGUGUCCUCAUGCCAUGGAGUCUCCCUUUUCAAGCAUGCUGUAUGUCUUCUCAGUAUAGUCUCAUUUGUUCUUCAGUAGUGCUUAAAAUUCUUGUUAAAAAUACUAAUUAUUUAUUUAACUGACAAAAAAUGGCCUGUGUUCGUGGUGUGCGACCUGGGGUGUGGCGCUGCUGGGGGGUGGUGGGACUGGCGGGAUUCAGGCCUCGCCCCUCCUCUCCUCCGCAGGAGCAGGCAGCACAGCACCAUGCUGCGCGCUGGCUCUCUUGAACCUACUUGUCCCUCAGUCCUUUGUCCCUGUUGCCCUCCUCCCCAGCCGUCACCCACGCUAACAGCCCUGGGCCCUGCUUCGGAGGUGGCUUUGCGAUGCCGAGUGGGUGAGCCCCGCAGUCCUGGUUAUUCUGGUCCUGCUUGUUUCCCUUAAUGAAGGGUCUUUGAGUCUUCCCUGCUGUCACAGACCACACGACUUCCUUUCUCUCAAACCCCCCGGGGGCUUUCCUGCUCCACUCCUCAGCCGAUGGACAUUCGGGCUGCCCGUUCCUGGCUGCUGUGCACCGGGCUGCAUGACACAUUCUGACUCCGACUCUGCCACCUGCGGGGCCCCGGCGGUGUCGGGCCCCCUUUCCUGCCCCUUGGUCGGCACUUGCUCUCUUUUCUCUGAUCACGUCCUUGCUGCAGGGUGGGGUCCUAGCUCCGGGGGUCUCCCUUGCAUUUUCGGAUGGAGAGUGCGUCGUCUUUUGAGAGGCGUCUGUUGAGCUUGUUGCCAUGUCACAGUAACCUGACGUGCCUUCAUGCCGGGGUUCUUCACGAGCUUGGGCUUUCCCUCCUGUCAGAGGUGCGCUCUGCACGUCUUGUCCGCUCCGCGGGUUCUCACUGCCGUCCCCCCAUGCAGCUUCUUAGCUGGAUGUGGUCAUCUGUCUGCUUUCUCGUUUCUUGUCUGCUUCUGAGGUCCCAGCCACAGGCGGCUGCCCAGGCUGUGUCCUGAAGCAUGGCUCCCCUGUGUUUUCCUCUGGUGGCUUUGCAGCAGGUCUGCCGGUCUCAGGUCUGCCGUCCUUUUCAAGGGCACCUUCGACCUGUGCGCUCCCACCGGGAGUUCUUGGAAACUCUGUUGACAUCCCUGUCUGUAACCCGAGGCUCUGUUUCUGGGCUCUCCCUCGGUUCUUUUGGUUUCUGUGUUUCUGCUGGUACCAUGCUGUUUUGGUUAUUGUGGUUUUUGUGUGCUUUGAAUCAAAUUUUAUUUAUUCUCAGGAAUUUUGUCCUUUUGUUAUUAUUGCAAGGAGUUUCCUUUGAUUGCGUUUUCGUCUGUGUGUGUGUGCGUGUUUCUAAUUUCUGGGUGUCCCUUUGUCUAUGGCCACCCUACUGAAGUCUGUUGAUCUGGGUUGGUUAUUUGGGGUUCUCUAGGCAUCUGGUCAUGUCAGCUUCAUCCCGUGAUGGGGAGCCUUCUCCUCCCCAGCUUUACCCCCAGUUUCUUUCUCUUACCUCAUUUUGUGACCUGAGGCUUCAGCGGAGUGGUGAUUCCCAGGUUGCUCCACUGGAGAUGUCCCUGGUGUCACCUCCUAAGCAGAAGGUGACUUUGGAUUGAGGUAGGUGGUGUUUCUUAUUAUGAGAGCCCUUUUUUAAAAAAUAAAGAGUUGUUGAAUUUUGUCAGUUGCCUUUUAAAGUCAUGUUGGGAUAAUCACGCAGUCUCUCCUUGUAUGCGUGAGUAUGGUGAGUGACAGUGAUGACCUUGGUCUCCUUAAGGUGCUGCGGGAUACUCUGCUGGUGGUCAGUGUUUGUUCUUGUAUUGCUGUUGGUAAGUAAGGUUGCUCUGAAGUUUUUAUUUUUGUGUGUGACUUUUUGGUUUUGAUGUCCAUGUUAUGCUUAUUUCAUAAAAAUAAUGUAAAAUUCUUAUUUCUUUUGCCAUACUCUGGAAUGGCUCAAUAGCAUUACCUGUGAAUCUAGUGGGACGUGGGGCCUUUUUAUUUUGAGGGGGUAAGUUCUUUUAUGAUUAAAAAAAGAAAUUUCCCUUUGGAAAAGAUUCUGUUUAAAUCUUUUUUGGGGGGGAUUGGUUUUUAAGCUUACAUUUUCCUAGAAAAUUAUCACUUUCUUCCAGUUCAUCAUGUUUAUUCAUGAAAGUUUAAGUAAAAUGAUCCCCUAGGACUCCUGAUUUCUUCAGUUUCUGUGGUUAUUUCCCUCUCAUUUUCUCCCUUUUCUUGGUUGGGUUAGCUAGUAGUUCCAUUUUGUUGUGUUAAUUUUUCUUUGAAGAUUCAGUUUUUGGGGUUUUUAAAGAAUUAAUGGUCCUAUUUCUGCUGAUCUUCUUCUUUCUUUCUGGUAAUGGGGAUUGAACACAGGGAUGCUUUACUCUGAAUCACGUCCCUUGUCCUUUCUGUUUUUUACUUUGAGUCAGAGUCUUGCAAAGUUGCUGAGGCUGGCCUCACCUUGGGAACCUCUUGCCUCAGCCUCCUGAGUUGCUGGGAUCACAGAUAUAUAUCACUGUAUCCAGCUACUUUUCUACUUUUUAACUGAUUACUUUUUGUUAAUGAUUAGUCCCUCUGCUUCUCCUCAUUUUAUUCCAUCACCCUUUUUCUAAAUGCUUGGUUUGUGGUUGGUUCAUUUGUUCACUUCCUUCUAGAAAGUCUUGACCUUCAGGGUUGCUGCUGCUGUCCUGGGGGACAUCAUUUCCCUGGUGUUGUUGCUGCUCUGGGGCUCGGCAGUGAGUCUCUUUUCUUGUGGUCCAGGAGCUGUAGGAGCAAGCGCGAACAUUUGGAGUGGAGGCUUCUGACUCCUGUGUUCGUCGGCACUUUGUCGAUUCGUUGCUUGCCCUUGGGCACCGGUUCCAGCUCUGCUCUCUGCGCACAAUUGGUCCUGGGGUUUGCUCGUGGCCCGCCGUUCCAGUGCGGUGGGGGAGAAGGUGGAGUCUCUGUUCUGGCUUACAGAGUGGAUGGACAUCAAAGGCUGACCAGGCUCACAUCUCACUGUGUGACUCCAGCCUGUGGGUCUGCACUUGGCCUCGGCCCUCCUGCUCUGGUGUGGCAAAGAGCAGGGCAUCUUGCCACCUUCUUCAGGGGCUGCUGGCAGGUGGCUGCUUACCAGGCGCACAGCUGUUUGACCGUCUGUGCGCCCACUGCUCCUGCAGACGGCACUCCUGGAUCUGCCCCGCGUGGGUUCCCCUCGCCUCUCUUCCCCUUUUCACUCCUGGUUUUACGUGUCAUGUAAGCUCUGUAUUUCUUUGUGAUUCAACCUGAGAAUCUUUUUUCUUUUGCUAGUUAAACUAAUUUAUUUUUAUUGAUAGUUCGGAUGUGUUUGAUCUUAGUUCUCUUCUGCUUUGCAUGUGUGCCUGUAUUUACUUUUAAGUCUUUUAACUCGGUUUUCUAUUCUUUUUGUAUUUUUUUUUAAAGUUUAUCAGAUUUUUUUGCUAUUUGGGGGAGUCGGUGCCUUUGUCUACAUGAGAUGUUGUAGUAAUAUCUCUGGGUUGUCUUUCAGUGUCCCUCUCCCAUGGACUCUAACUCAAGACACCUGAGAGUGUGCCGUGUUCCCCCCAAAGUGUGCCGUGUUAAAUGGCAAAAUGAAGUUGCAGAUGUGCUUUUGUUUAUGAACUAUGAGGUAGACAAGUGGGCUGUCCUGGAUCACCUGGGAGGGCUCCCCAACCUGGUCCUGAACACAGAGAACUCUGUAGCAUCAGUGGGGAGAUGGGUGAGGGCCGGCAGAGUUGCAGAAGUGGGAAUGAUUUGGCCAGCCCCUGCUGGCCUCAAGAUUCAGGAGUGCAGAGGGGUCUGGAAUUGAGGCCCCGGCCCCCUGGCAUGGGCAAGGACACAGACUUCAGUCAUGCAGCCACCUGGACCUGCGUCUGCCUGAACCUCGAGGUGCUUUCCCUGCUGCAGGAGGCACAGCCCAGCCUGGAGACCCUGACCUGUAGCAACUGCCACAGAGCAGGCUCUGGAUGCUAAGUUUGGGCCAUCUGAUGUGCCAGCAGUAGGAAGCUCAUCCACUUCUCUGGGCAAUUGUACAGUUACUGUGCUUGGUGUUCUAGCUCCCAUCCCCAGCUUUAGUCACCCAUAGUCCUUUGUCUGUGUUGGCCUUUGUGCUGUGGAAUCUUCUUGUCUUCUGUUACUGGAUUGUCAGCUUUAAAUGCUGUCCUCGGCUCUGGUGCUUGCUGGCUUCCUCUCUCCCCUCUCGUCCUUGUAGCUGUCACUGCUUGGGUCAGGCUCUACCUCGGCCUGGCCUGCUGUCUCCAGAAUCCCGCCUGGCCCUGGUCAUCCAGCACUAGGUGAAUGUAUCCAGCGCCCACUGACAGCCUGUUCAGAGUGUUUUCUUGGGGGGCUGGUAGGAACUGCUGUCCCCCAGCACUGUGGGUUCAGAGGGCAGUGUGGGACAGCAUGGCUGUGGGUCAGCACUGCUGGGCUUUGACUCUUUAGCUGAUGUCACUCCCCCUUUCCUGACUUGGAAGGUUGCUUUGGAAAAACCUGAGGCCGGCUUGGUUUUUCUUCCCUGUACAAGUGAUUUGCUUUCCUUCUUUUUGCCUCACUUUUGCCCACCGUCCUAGUCUCUGUCAUUUGUGAUGCUUUUAACUGUGUUUUGAUUACGUCUUAGGAAUUCACCCAGGGGCAGGCUGCAGGAGUCUCUGUCUCCUCCUUGCUGUUGAUGGUGGACUUAAUGCACAGGAGUCCUGAUUUUGGUGAAGUCUCAUUUGUCUGCCUUUUACUUUUGUCAUUUGUUAUUGAGUGUCAUGACUAGAGACCACUGCCACUCUGUCUUGGAGUUCCCUGUUUCCCACGCGUUGCGUUCAGUUCUGGGGUGUCCUUCUUGUUCGCCUUGGUGUGGGGUUUAGGGUUGGGGUCCAGUGGUGUUCUUUUGCAUGUGGCUAGUUUACUUGGCACUACUUGUGGAAAGGACGCUCCUUUCCCUGUGAAAAGGUCUCGGCAGCUCGUCACAAUCCCUGGGCCGUAUAUGAGGGGUUGUGUCUGGCUGACUGUCCUAGUCUCUGGAUCUGCGAGUGUGUCUUUGUGCCACAGUCAGGCACACCAUUUUGAUGAUUGCAGCUUUGUACAAUGUUGAGAGCCACAGCCGAAGGGGCCCCAGCAAACUUCCAGCUGCCAGCAAACUUCCAGCUGCCGGCUGAUGAUUGGCUCACAGCGGCCCCAGCAACAUCUAGCUGAUUGGCUCCUCUGCGGUGAUGCUCAUUGGGCUGUUUCCCUGCCCUUUCAGACCACGGAGCUGCUCAUUGGGGGACUUUUUUGGCUCCGCCCACGUGACCCAGCCAAUCGGCCUCAAGAGCAGGAGGAUUGUGAGAGGUGGGGAGAAGCUUGUGUGGGAGAGAGAGGCUUGUGGGAAGCCCGUGGUGGCAGUUGAGGCUCUGAGGGUUUUUCCUGAGAGGCUGUUUUGUUUAGCGUGUGUGGUUCUAAAAAUAAAGUUAGUUUCUUUUGACAAGUGGCUCCUGAUUGUGCCCAGCCAGACUGCGGCAUUUGGUGGCCUGCACGGGGAGCGACUGAGGGUAAGUGAACUGCUCGCCCCUGAGGGCAGGGCGAGAGGAUGGGUAGCCAUUUUAAGAUUCUUCUUUUAUUUUGCUUCACUUUUGUUUUAAGUUGCCUGUCCCUGGAGAUGAGUGAGACGGAAGAAAAACCGCUCACAUCUGAGGAAAAACUAUUUACGUCUGAGGAACAGAUAGGGAGAAAGGACGGAUGCACAUGUCAGGAGGAUAGAAAGGCUAUAAUGACUUUUUGUUGUUCCCUUUUUAUUUCAUUCUGUCUCGGUUUUGUUUGGCGUCAUCUUGUUGGGUUGUAUUAUAGUAGAAAUACGGGAUCAGAAAUUAGUAAAAAACAAACUGAAAGAGUGUUAAGUAAAUUGUUAGAGGAAGGAGGCAUCUCAGUAAAAUCAAGAACAAUCAGGGCAUACGUUGAUACAAUACAAAAAUGUAGCCCAUGGCUUUUUAAGGAGGAGUUGUUAAAUAUAUCACAAUGGAACCAUCAUGGUGAAGAUUUAAAAAGAAUAGAAAAGAAAAGCCCAGGGACUCUGCCAGUUGGCACAUUGCCAUUGUGGACGUUCAUAUCUUGUUUGCUUAGUCCAAAGCCUUCAGUUCAGACAAUGGUAGAGGAAGGAGAAGACAUAAUGAUUCAAGUAAAAGAGAAGGUCUCUCAAGUUAGUCAGACAGAGGAAAAGAUUCAAGUAAAAGAGAAGGCCUCUCAAGCUAGUCAGACAGAGAAAGAAAGUGUAAAACAGAAAAAGCCAUCAGGGGGAAAGUUACAACAGGAGACUGCUACUAACACCUUUCUAUCACCAGAGGGUGUAAGUGUCCAACCAACAGCACCACCUCUACAGGAGACUGCUACUAACACCUUUCUAUCGCCAGAGGGUGUAAGUGUCCAACCAACAGCACCACCUCUACAGGAGACUGCUACUAACACCUUUNUACGCACAAAUUGCUGCAGAUGCAAUUAAGGCAUGGAAGACUUUACAAGGACAUGGAGGUUUACAAGGUCAAUUAUCUAAGGUAAUACAAGGAGCUAAUGAACCUUAUGCUGAAUUUGUAGAUAGGCUUAUUCAAACAGCUACCAGAGUUUUUGGGAAUACAGAACAAGCAAUGCCAUUACUAAAACACCUGGCUUAUGAGCAAGCGAAUCGUUGGUGCAGAGAUAUCAUUAGACCAUGGAAACAUGAAGAUUUAAACACAUAUAUUAAAUUAUGUAGAGACAUUAAUGAACAAGAGCAAGUCGUGGCAGCUGCAGUAAAACAGGCUUUAGAUGCCAGGCCAAGAACAUGCUACAAUUGUGAACAAACAGGACAUUUUAAAAGGAAUUGCCCCAUUGGAGGAGGGUUUAACAAAACUAGGUAUCAAAGGAGUAGAAUACCAGGUAUUUGCCCACGAUGCCGUAGAGGGAGACAUUGGGCUAAUGAAUGCCGUUCUCAAACCACCAUAGAGGGUACUCCAUUAUCAAAAAACGAACAAGGACCAGGUGUUUAUCCACGAUAUCGUGGAGAAAGGCAUCGGGCUCCAUUGCCAAAAAAUGGACAGGGGGGCCCAAUGCUCCGGGGCCCAAAACCACAAAUAUACGGAGCACUGGAGGAACCCAGCAACCCCAUCAGGGUAGUGCCCAGGACACAUUGUCCAUCAGAUCCCUCAUCAGACAAACCAGAGGGAGCGCAGGGUUGGACAUCUGCGCCUCCGCCAGAGCAGUACUAACUCCAGAGAUGGGAGUUCAAAUCAUUCCCACAGGGGUGAAAGGACCUCUUCCCAAAGGAACAGUAGGCUUAUUAUUGGGACGCAGCUCUUCUACUCUAAAAGGACUUAUGAUAAGUCCUGGGGUAAUUGAUCCCGAUUAUGAAGGUGAAAUAAAAAUUAUAGCCAGUUAUCCAAAGGGUAUAUCAGUAAUUUCACCAGGAGAUAGAAUAGCACAGUUACUAAUAAUACCCAGCCUACAUGAUAAAUUUUCCAGUCGUACUGUAGAAAGAGGUUCCAAGGGAUUAGGCUCCACAGGUGUAGAUUGGGCUAUGCUUUCUUUAAGUUUAGAUUCUCGCCCCAUGCUAAAACUAAAUAUUCAAGGACAUGAAUUUAAUGGGCUACUGGAUACAGGUGCAGACCUUAGCAUCAUCUCUCGUCAAGAAUGGCCAAAACAUUGGCCAUUACAACAAGCCACUCAAGUUUUGGAAUCAUGAAGAGUGUGACCUGUGACUCUAUUCUUUCUCAAGAUUGUUGUUGGCUGUUCAAGUUUAUUGUUCAUUUUGGAAUGAAUUGGUUUUUUCCUGGGUCGGCUCUUUGUGAGAGCCCCCCAGCCCCCGUCUAGGAUGGGGUGAUGGGGAUGUGAGCUGGACAGCUCUGCGAGUCCUGUGCUCUCCCUGGGGCUGCACAGAGGCAGGCUGCUUCCUGCAGACCCCUGCCGAGUCCUUCUGAUUCUGGGUGUGGCCGGUCCCCUCUCCACUGCUUGGUCUUGGUGACUUCACGGGAGGCCCACUUCCUUGCUGGUUCAGGCUGCCCAUCAUGCAGGGGGAGUGCCUUUCUGUGGGUGCUCCCUAGACCUGCUUCCCAGGCCUUGCAGCCUCGCCAUGCCCAUGCCCUUUCCCUGCCUGGCAAGGCUCUGCCUACUUGCUCACUGCCUGGGUGCCAGCCCUCACCUGAGGUAGGGGUCUGUGGAUUGCAUUUCCUGUUUUGUCUAAAUAGGAAGUUUGGCUUCUUAAACUCUUCAUUAGUUUGGGGAGCAUCCUCCUUGUUGUUUGAGUGUGAUUUCUAGAAAGAAAUAGGAAAGACAUGCCAAUAUAUAUUGCCAGGUCUGCUUGCCAUCAGGGCCCUCCCUUUGAUGACCCCCCAGAGUGUGAGCAUGCCUUCUCUGGCACUUGCAAAUGGGAGGUCUCACCCACAUCCUGUCCUCUCUGCCAGGACAGUAGAGCUGCCAACCUUGACUGACAGCACCACUCGCGGUUCCUAGGGGUUGUGGGCCAGGCCAGCAGGAGGCUCAGGGACUGCUGCUCUCAGCACCAUGGACAGUACCUGCAUGGACGCCUGCCCUGCAUCUGCAGCCUGCAUCUGUAACUGUCCUGUCCACCUGGCACCUCCUGCCUGCAGGCCUUUGGACAAGUGGCAGGAGGCACAGGGUUGCCCUGGUAUCCCAGCCACUGGUCUGGCCUGCCGCUCAGUGCCACUCAGUACCAGCUGGUGCAAAGGCAGCUGGGGAGGGGCUGAGGGCAGGAAAAGUUUUGGAGGUGAGAGGAGUUAUGGAGAGGAGAAGAGAGCCCCUAGGGCCGAGAGGAGCAGUCAUCCUUUGCAUUGAUGAAGCAGACUCAUCAGUGUCGCCCUGUGGUGGAGGAGGGGGACCCAACAGGCUUGGUUGUUGUCAGUGUGGAAGGGGACUCCAAGCCUCCAGGGGGCUGAGGCCCUGUGAGGACCUCCCAGGUACAAGGGAGGAUGUCUUGAUCCUUCCCUGGUGUGUUUAGUUUGGGGAGGUGUGUCUGUCACUGGCUCCGAGCCCCCCAGCCCAGGCAGAGUCUGCUCAAGUGUUUGCCAGUGGGUGAACUGUCAUCUGUCAUGUCUUUACACUGACCACUUCCCCAGCCUGAGGGAGACAUGUGACUCCUCAAGUUAUUUGAGAGCUUCUGAAACUCUGUGAACUCCUGGGUAUUCCAUCACUGCUCCCACCCCAUGGAGCCCUUGGGGCUCCUGGCGGAGCACCCAGAUUCUCUCCUGCUCUUGCCUCUGGCCAUGCUGUGGGCCUCCUGGGACUGCCAGGCUGGCUGCCUGUGCUGGUGGCUCCCGAGUGUGAAGCUCAGAGCUGAGUUGAAGAGCUGGCUGGCCCAGUCUGCUGAGGAGGUUCUGGCAUUGAGCCGGUGCCACUGCAGAUGGAGGGAUAUCUGCCCCACGUCUUCCAUCCUGGUCCAUCUGUCUGGUACCUGGGGGGGUGGGUCUUCCAAACCUUGUGGUGGUGAUGGAGUGCCUCUCUUGGGAGUCCUCCCCUGGACCUCUAGAGCUGCCCUGGGUAUGGUGGCUACAUGACAUCCCUUCCACUGGCUGCAAGCUCACCAGGUUGAGCUUGUGCCCAUCCUUAGUGACCUCGUGGGGAGCCAGGCUAUGAAUGCCCAGACACACUCCCGGAUUAUGUCUAUUUCAGCUUGGAGUGAUGGCUGUUCAGAGCAGGUGCCAAAGCCCGGUGGACAGGGCUAGCACAGCUUUUAGGGGAAAGAGACCUGGGUCUGGAUUCCAUCCAGGCCUUUGACCCACUGGGUAGCCUGGGGCAAGCUCUGACACCUCUGAGCCUCAUGUCUCUGGCUGGGAAGUGCUGACAGUAGAAGCUCCCUCACCGUGAGCCUGAUAGUCACAAGUGUAGAGAAUUAUUCCAUUCUCUCCUCCAGAGCUGUGCUGUGUGGUGAGGGGAGUGACUUCCCUCCAGAGCAGGAUGUGCCCAAGUGAAUCGGGGCACGCUCUGGUCUUCCCCUCGCCUUACUGUCCUCCAUCCCUGCACCCACAGCCUGCUUGGAGCCUGUGUAGAUGGGGACUCUCCUGUCUCUGCUGCUCGACUUGGGCGUCAUCCUCUUGCUCCUUUGCUUCUGCUGUCCUGGGGAGAGGGAACGUGGUGAGAUGUAGUAGCUGGGUGGUGGGCACAGCUGGGCCUGGACGCUUCCCUUCCCAGGAAGGGAGGAGGUUGGCGUAGAGGCAAUGCGUGCAGGAGGAGGGGAGACAUGCACUGUGGACAUCCUGACUGCCCUUUUGUGCUGUUAGUGAUUGCGCUUCUCCAUGGCUGAUUCUGGGCGUCAAUUUGCAAGGUGCCUGGGGGUGCCUGGCUGGCAGUCUGUCUGACGUGGAAUCCAAGUUGCUAUAACAACACUGAUUCAUGCAGUCGCAGCUCCCCUGGCUGGGACCUGCCUCUCUCUGGCUCUGAGGCAUGUACAGACACACGUGCUUGCGCGAGCACACCUACGUGGAGACCCCGAGGGCUGGCGCCGGGCAGGGCUGAGUGGGUCUGGGCACAGCCAGGCCUCCUCCACCUUGGCGCGAUGCCUCCAAGCGUGUGCCUUGGCGUGUGGGGUGUCAGGUACAGUCAGGGGAGUGGGUCGCAGCCUACUCUACGGGGGGGCAGGACUGGGCAGCUUCUGAGGGGGGUGUGGGCACGAACCAUGCUCUGUGACUCAGUGUCUCCCACGUGCAGCUUGAGCAAGGGACCCCAGAAUGCCUGCUGCUUCUGAGUCUGGUCAGGCAGGUUUUGCCUGCUCACCCACGUGGCAGGGGCCUUUCCUGGGGCCCCAGUGAGAGGGGAUGCCAGCCUCGGGCCCACCGUCCCACUGAUUGUCCCACAGGAAACUGCAGUCUGCUGUGAGCAGCUCCUGGUGCAACGGUCGCCUCCUCAUUCCAGGCUGGCCCUGGUCUCUGCUUCCUCUUUCCUCUGAGACAGGCCAGAGGUUCGUCAGUGGGGCUGGGGCUGCUCCAAGACCCCACCUGCCUCUGUCCCCAGCUCUGACUCCAGCCACCACCUGACCCUCUAAGGCAUCAAGGGACUGGCAGGUUUUUAAAGGAGGAAGCCACACUGGGUGCUGGAAGGGGUUCGUCUGGCCAUGAGCAUCCUCAGGGCUGAUGGGAGGCCCUUGAGUCAUUCAGUCCUUGCUGGGGAUUCAGUCAUUCAUCCUGGGGACCUGUGUUGAGUGGGCAGGAGCUGGUGAGAGAAGUGGGUUUGAUUUGGCCUUGGGCUGCCCGUGGCCUUCGGGGGCUGGACUGGUUCUGUGGACAUCCUCUUAGUGCCCCAGUAAUUCUGAAGACGACCUGGAGCCCUGUGGGCUGGGCCAGACCGGUGUUCCCGGCCCUGGUUGGAUUGGGUUCACAAGUCUGUAGUGCUGGGAUAUGAGGCGCAGCAGGGUCCUGUGGAAAUGCAGCUGAAGGCGAAGGGGUGUGUGCGCGCGUGUGGGUAAGGGUGGGAUGAAGAGCACUGGAAAAGCUUUAUCUCAGUUUCCAAAAAGUAGACCCUGUUGUCACAGAAAGCUCACAGCAGAGGAAGGAAGCCAGCCUUGCUUGGUGGUGAUCAUUCAGACCCUCCAGAGGUCUUUCCCGUCUUUUUUCUGCUGUGGUAUUUGAUGGAAUUGUGUCCUCACUAGGUGACUUACUUGCACCCUUGCUGUUUCACCUGAGAGUUAGGGUCAUCUGCUGGGAGGGUGGCUGGCGAGGAGAGGAUUGAGCCAGGGGUGACCAUCUGGUGGGCUGCCAAGAGAAGUGGGAUCAGCCUGGGCUGGGGGAGGUGGGGAAGAGCUUGGGGCAGUGGGUGUUUGCAGGGGUGCCCUGGGAAAGGGACACAGCCUCCUGGGGUCCUCUCUCCUACUGUUCCCAGUGCAGUUUGGCCAGCAGGAGGCUCCAUCCUGUCCAGCUCCCUAGUGCCCCUGAGAGAGUGCCAGCAGUGCCUCUCCCGCUGUGUGACCUUGUGAACCUGUGUUCUGGGCUGUCGUGUCUCCCCUGUCUGUCGCUGGCCCGAGAGCCAGGCCUGGCUUCACGGGGGAUGUUCUGUGACUUUGGGCUCCUCAGUUCUCUCUGUGCCUUAGUUUCUCACCUGUGACCUUGUGGGGGGUGGAAGUGGGUUAAUGCAUUUGAAGUGCACUGGACAGCACUUGGCACCAGGUGAGUAUGCAGCAAAGGUCUCAAAAAGUCCGUUGCUCCUCCUGCUCCUCCUCGUCAACGUUGCUGUCCUGUGACCACAGCUUCUUAGGAAUAGGUGCUGGAGGGCUCAGUUUCCGCUCUGCUGGGUGCUGUGUAGGCAGCCUGCUCAGUCUUGGGAGGGCAGGCUGGAACCUCGGGACCCUGCCUGGGGUCGAGGUACCUGGGGAGGCUCCCUUCCCAGCAGAUGGAGCUGGGAGCCCAGGAGGCCGAGCAUAGCCACUAGCCUGCCCCACGAGGGGGCACUUGGAGACUGCAGCGUCAGGAAGCCUUUUGCUUGCUUCACACUGCCCAUGGCUGGCCAGGUGCCCUCUUUUGUCUCAUAAGGUCCCUGGCCUUUGGUGCCUUCUGGCACCUCCCCAUGGGGGUAGGACUUUCAAGGGUUUUAAUCUUCAAGGGUCUCGCUCUCAUCCCUAGGGCAUAGGGACAAGUGGGCUUCCCUGUCACCUUUUGCAGAGUGCUCCUGUUGGGAGCCUUGGUGACUGUUUAGAAGCUGUGGCUCUGGUGAGCUCCCUGGGUGGUGAGCUGCGUGGGGUGAAGUCGGGUGGGGCGCUGGACACUGGGGCUGGGCCACAGGGCUGGGAGGAGGGGCUGGUUGGGGAGGGGACUGGCACCUUUUCGCCACGUUGAUGCUUCCCCAGGCUUGCUGUGUGCCACGUUCCGUCCUUGCUGCAGUGGCCCUCAGAGGCAUGGUGGCUGAGGAGUCGGAGGUUCUUGGGUGAAGCCCACUGAGCAAGGUGCCAUGGUGAGGUGGAAGGCACCUUCCUUCUACAAGGCUCUUCUUCUGCAGAGGAUGCUGCCAGCCCAGCCCGGGAGAAGCUGAUGUUAGGACCAUGGUCAGAGCGCUGCCGGGCUCUGCGAGCAUGGAUCCUGGAGCUCGACAGGCAGCCCCGGCCUUGGCUUUGGGAAGAGAAACUUGACUUACCCAGGGUCAGGAGCAGCUCACAUGUGGAUGACCAGAUGGGGCCUGCGUGGCAUCAGCUCCGGUCCUAGCUCAUGCGCUCCCCAUGGCCACCCCCAGAAGGGGGUACUUUGUUACAGAUGCAGGGAGUCAGGGGCCUUCAUUUCACCCAAGGCAACGGAGCUUGGGAGUCCAGGAUCCAGACUUCCCAGAGUGCAGGCUAUCUCUGGUGGCUUGACUUGGCAUGACCAGUCCUGGGUGCUCUAGGGCUGGUGGAGCUGACUCAGGACGGAUGGGAGCUUUUCUCCAGGUGAGGCCCCCAGUGGUGGAUCGGCCUUGUUAGCCCACUUCCUAAAUUGUGGAAAUGAACACAAUGAUCUUGAGCCAAACAGGAUGAGCUUGUUUGUCUAGGCCCGUAGGAGGGUGGCCGGGAAUGGGAACUAGAUGUGUUGGUCACUCCUGGCCAUUUGCCCUGCGGAUGCAUGCUGCCCUGGGUGGUCGCCACACUAGGGUUGGGCAUCUGGUGGCCUGUGUGCAAGGUCUGAUGAUCUGGGUCCAUCUGGGCCCUGGGACUCAGUAAGGGUCUGCCCUGGCAGAGCCUGCCCGCUCUGGCCCCCUUGUUCUAAGGAGCUGCAUCCUGUGUUCAGUUCACCUGGGAGCUCCAGCAGCUUUCUUGGUUAGGUGAUGACGCUCAUUCGGUUUUUCAUCUUUGCAGACAGUGACGGGUGUGCCUGGCAGAGACUCAGAGAGCCUCAGUGGUGGCAUCUGAGGUGCCUCUUGGGUGCAGGGUCCUGAGUGUGGGACCACAUGCAGAGCACCCACCAGCAGUCUGGUGGAGGCGAGACCAAUCCUCCCAGCCUGCCUGCAGCCGCGGCCACUUGGGGCAUGUGUCACAGCUUGAGACCUGGUUCACUUACCAAGUGUACACUUCAGUGGCUCUUGGGUGCUGAAACGGUGCUUGGCCACCACCACCUUCUGGUUCCAGAACUCUUCCAGCUCCUAAAGAGCCCAUGCCCACCGGCAGGCACUCCUGUUCCCAACUCUGCUCUGCCCAGCAACUCAGCCUCCUUUCUGGCUUUAGGGAUUUUGCUGGUUCUGAACUUCUCCCUUUGGAAGGAGUCUGACAAUGUGGUCCUCCAUGACUGGCUUCUCACACUGAGCUCCACGUGUCAGGGUCUGUGCCUGUCAUCGCGCCUCUCCGAACCUCGUGGUGGGUGUGGCAGGCACCUCCUGCCAGGCUUCUUUCUACCCAUGGCAGGUUUGCUGUGCACACAGUGAAACCCAGAUGCCGAGGGCUCAGCGAUUUGAGUUUCCACAUCUGUCUCGUGGUGUAACGUCCCCAAGUAGCCACCUAGUGCCCCGAGCCCCAGAGUAGCCCUCAUGUCCUACCCCUUCCCCGUUCUGUUUAUCUUGCAGGGUUUGGCCUGUCCUAGAAUUUCCCGCAGCUCGAGUCAUGCAGGAGUGCGUUGAUGCACGCCAUUCACACCCGUGACUCUACCACGCGUCCCUGGGCUCUUGGCUCUGCUCUCUGUUCUGAUGCUGUGCAGCGUGCGACCCUGAGUGUGGUUGUGCGGCGCACGUUGCCUUUGCGCUGGGCUGUGUGCUGCGCAGACGGGCCACCGUCCAUACUCCUGCACACAUUCUGGGUGGGUGACAGGCUGCUCUGACCAUGGGUGCAGGGCUCUUGGGGACGUGUGUUUUCUGCUCUCCUGGGGCAGGGUGGCUGCGCCAGGGCACUUGUCUCUUUAUCAGAACUGUCAGAUGGCGCUGACUGGCGGCCCCAUUGUGUACCCACAGUUAGGACAUGAGCACCUUGCAGCCCUUGUAGCCCAGCUGAGUGUGCAGCUGUGGGCUUACUGUCACUCCAGUGGUGUCCUGGGCCUGGACGUGAGCUGGGCGUGCUGCCUGGGCACCUGUGGCAGUGCGAAGUCGCCCUUGGUGUGUGUGGUGUGCACUGAUGCGCCGUUGUCGACUCCAGGUGGUUGUAGCCCAUUCUUGUUUUGUGAUGCUUCAGGCUUCUGGUGGCUUCUUCUGGAUUCCUUGUGUGAAGUCCUAGGAUGUGGGAACUGUGGUGGCCCCAUGUGCCCAGAGGCUUUCGUGGUGCUGCCUCUUCCUCUCUGUGCCCUGACUGGGUGGGCCACUGUGUGUCCUGGGGGGCGGGUUGCUGCCCCCCGGUCCCUGUGCUGGGGGUUGUCCCCUGCCAUCUGUCUUUCUUGCUUUAGUUUGUGACAUGUUUGAAUUUUUUUUUUUUAGACUAAAUCUCAGCAGUGCCUUAUAUAUUCAGGAUGUAACCUUCAUCAUUUUGUUGGAAACAUGUUUUCACUUUUGUCAUUUGCCGUUUAAUUUUGCUUAUAUUGCAUUUUGAUUGACGAAUCUUUGAAAAUGUGCUGCCAAGUCUACUUUCCCCGGUGUGCGUGUUUGCGUGCGCACGUGCUUAGCAGUACUUUGGUAUUGGUGGAUGUUUUGUGUUUGUUUUAAAACUAUUUGACCCUUCCGUCCAUCUGGAAUUUGUCUUGGUGUUGAGUGUCAGAUGAGGAGCUGGCUGGCCUUUUCCUAGUUCACUGGUUUGUCUGUGUGUCAGAUGAGGGGAUAAUGGAGGAGGUCUCUGAGGGAGAGACUGCGGGUGCUGGCCCUUCCCCCGUGGUGGACAGGCUCUGAGGUGGUGGGGAAAAUCGUCUCCCUGCAGCGCAGGGAGGGGAGGAGGGACGGCAGGGCGCCGGGCACCAGGCACCAGGUGUGUGUGGUUCUGUGCUCUGCCAGGAGCAGCCCUCUGCUUCCUAGAUGGCUCUGAGCCCAGGUCCUCAUUUUGGCCCUCCCACCAUCCAGGACCUGGUGGAUCUGCCUGCUGUGUGUCCAGCUGGGAAUAGACCUUUCUGUGGGUGUCCAGAGGUGGGUGCAGUGGGCCCGCCUUCGCACCCAGGGCCUGUGCUCCCACCAGGCUUGUUGCCUCAUGCCAGGCCCUGGAGUCCUGUGUUUGGGUGAGCCCCUUGGCUACCUGCUGCUGUUGCCCUAACCUUCUCCCGGGCGCAGGACCUGUUGUAGUCCAUGUGAGCUUUUGUAACUGGGUGGCUUAUACCUGCAGGCGUUUAUUUCUUUGGGUUCCGGAGGCUGAGUGCCUGGGGUCGGGGCCUGCAGAAUGGGGUCUGGUGAGUGGCUGCCCUGGGCUGCACAUGGCGCCUUCUUGCUGUGUCCUUCCAUGGCAGAAGCAGAGAAGCAGGCUCUCCUGGGACUCUCCCAGGGGUGCUCCUCCCACCAAAAGGGCACCUCCUGAGGCCCUGCCUCCACAUCCUGUCACCCUAGGGGUUAGGUUUUCACACAUGAGUUUGGGGACACAUAUUCAGACCACAGCAGAGCCCAGCAGGCUCCCAGGCUCCCUCUGGGGGGGAACACAGGGGCCUGAGUCUGCCGUGUGAGGCCUGCUGGGCCUGCCUGCCUUUCUCCUCCAGUGACUGCAUUAGCAACCGGCUGCUCCCGUUCUUGAGUGUGUGGACAGGCUGAAAGAGAUGGGGCCUUUCUCGAGGUCCUGCACUGGCCAAGACAGAGUAGGGGUCAGACUCGCUGUCUCUGUAGCCCAGUUCUCCCUGGCUGCUGGGCUUGGCACUGCACACGUGUGUAACAGCUUCUGUGAGCUGUCUGCCUGCGCAGCAGACUGUGCUCCCAGCCCGGAGGGUGGCUGCACUGGCGGCCAUGCCUCUUCUCCUCCCCGCCCUCUCCAUCUUGGGCUGUCCCCCAUCGUUAGCCUCCUGCCUCAGCAGAUCCCCAUCAGUCACAGCCUGGCCUGGGCUGGGCGUGAGGGACCUGUGGUGGUGGGAGGAAGCUGGCUGUUGCUCUGAGGAAGCCCUGUCUUCUGGGUCUCUGCUGUCACCACCAGGGGUCUUGGCGUGUAGGCUGGCCAGGUGGCCCAGUGUUGGUAGGGUCAGGUGUGCUUUGAGCUUUUCGUGGAAUGGCUUGAUCUGCUAAUUUAAGGGUUGGGCUUCAAGAGACCAUGCUGGUGCACUGUCAUGGAACCGGGCGGUGCCCAGAGGCUGCCCAGUGGCUGAGCCCUUGGGUCAGUUGCUGCAGGCGCACCAGGCAGAUGUCUGCAGGGUCAAUGCAGCUGAUCCUGGCCCAGGGCCUGUCCUGCCAGGGCUCACUCUUCCUCUGCCAGCCUGGCCCUCCUCUUCUAAGGGCCACAUUCUCUCUGCCCUUCCCAUGUGAUUGUGUGUUCUUCCUCUCCUUCCCUGGGCAUUGGCCACAAGGAUGCCCUGGUGGGAGGGCUACCUUGUAUUGGUGGCCAUGAGGCGUGGCCUUCCUAAAUUUAGGCGUCUUCUUUUUAGCCAGCCUGUGGCCUCCCUGGGGAAAGGGGACAGGAGCUACUGGUGUUUGGGUACGGGCCUGGCCUUGUGUCCCAUGGAUAUUGUCGCAUGUGUAUUAUUCUAGCAGCAGCAGUCUGUGUGUGUGUGUGUGUGUGCCCACAUGUACUGCGUGAGGGGUGGAGGCCUUUGGGGCACCUCCCCGAGGCACUGGUGCUUGGAGUCUUGCUCCCCUUCCUUCCUUCCCAGGGCCAGCCUGGAGGGGUGCAGCUGUUGUCUUGGAUCCUAGAAGUCGUCGAGUUACUGCUCUGUUCCUGACUGUGGCCAGGUCAGCUCCCGCCACAGCCCAGGCCUUCACCUUUGAUCUCUGGCCUCACAGGUGGCUGGAGUUCUGGGCAAGGUUUUGGUGCCAGGUCCCCUCCUUGACCUGACAUGCUUUCUCCCACCCAGCCUGCAGCCUGAUCCUGCACGGUCUGUGGGAGAUGCCUGCUGGUGGUCAUCCUAGAGAGUAGGGCCAGUGUUGCUCUGCUGAUGGGUGGUGGUCACAGGGAGAGAGCUAUACCUGGCUCCUGCUCUCAGGCCCCACCAGACCUGCCCUGGCUCUGGCCAUGAGCUGGGCAUGGGACCAGGCCUCUGUUGAGCCCAUAGGCGGGGCCCUCCCUGGAGGACAGCAGCAAGCCCUUCCUAGUUCUACCCAGGGGUUUAGUGCCUGCGUCCUGGUUUCUGGGUCAGGUGGGGGUGGGCCCGGGGAGUACAGCUUGUCAUGACCAUCGUAUUGCCUCCCUCCUAGGUGGAUGUUUUCCCAGCCACAAGGCUGGGUGAGGUCCUGCUGGGCCAGGCCGUGGCCUCACAGGGCCUGUAGGACCACCCCAGCUGGGCUUUGAAGCUGGCUGGGCCUGAGCCAGCUCCCAUGGCCCUGGCCCAGGUCUAUAUCCUGCGGCCCCUUCAAAGACCAGAUGGUCUGCUUCCCAAGGGAGCUGUGCCCAGCUCUAGGCUAGGGUCUCGUGCUUUCUUCCAGACCUGGACCUUCCUGCCCCUUCGCCUUCCUGAGGGAGAAGACCCUGUCCUGGGAGAGAGUGAUGGGGGCAGGGUGGGAAGCAGCCUGUGGAGCAGCAGAGAGGAAGGUCUCAGCACCGGAGAGGCCCAGGGGACUUGUGGAGUCCUGCACAGCAGUCUUGGGCUCUGGCAGGAGCCACCUGAGCACCCGAUGUCAGGGAGUGCAGCGUGGCUCACUGCCCCCUCCAGCUGCCCUGGGGGACUGCUGAGGAGGCUUGGCCUGGAGGAGGGGGCUGAGGUGCAGGAAGGCGGGAAGUGCCAGAGGCCACACGGCCAGGCCAGGAUGUGGCUCUCAGGAGCAGCAGCCCCUGGAUCCCCACCUCUCAUGGGAAAGAGGGCUAGGAGGUCGGAGAGCACUCCCUUCCCUGGGACCUGCAGCCUUCUGAUUGCUGGGUCCCACUCUUCCCCUCUCGCACCGCCCCUGCUGGCUGUUACAUCACCUGUCUCCAGGCCUCCUGCAGGGCUGGCGCUGAACACUGUCAUCCGCAGGUGUCCAUGGUGCCCCAGCCCUCCCCGUCCCCCUCCCGUCACUGUUCUCUUCCUCCUUCAACAAGUCCUCUGGAGGAGCCCCGGGCUCUGGGACUGUUGACUGAACCCUGCAGCGGAGGCCACAGCGAGGGGCUGGCUGUCUCUUGCCGCCUCCUGCCCAGCUCUCCAGCAACUGUGUGGUGGAGGCCUUGGUGUGUCCUCUGUGCUUCAGUCUGGACCUCUCUUCUGAGCCCUAGCCCUGAACCCUGUUGCUCUCGUCGGGUGGCUGGCCCAUAGCUUGAACUCAGCUCUGCUCUUGAGUUUCCGAGCCCUCCUCCCACAGCCUUCCCCAUCUGGGUGAGUCACCCGGACCACGGUCCCAUUCUUCUGCUUGCUUAGGCCAGGGGUCGACAUGCUUGUCCCUGCAAGGGCCAGACUCUAGCAUCUGGGGUUCCCAGGCCUCCCCUGACUCUGGCUGUGGGGUGCUGAGGAGAUGGCACUCGGCAGUGCUACGUGAGUGGGCCUGGCCCUGCUCCACUCAGACCUCAGCCCCAUGCGCCUGCCCUUGGCUCGGGGCCUCUGGGGACCACAUGGGCCUUGCCCGUGCAGCUCCAGACGGCAGCUGUGUCCACCCAGGUGCCCCACAGGGAAGCGGCUUUCCUAGCACCCACCUGGUGCCUUCGUGCCCCUCAGAUGGUGCUGCCAGUGAGUGUCUGUCUUCACCAGUAAGUGCUGCCUGAUCUUCCUGUGAUGCCAGGUCUGUUGACACGGGACAGACACAUAGUGCCACUCGCUGCAGUGUCCAGUGAGCUCCAGGAGAGUUCCAGUCACGAUUGGAGCAUUGUGCCUUUCUCCUGCCUGAUGGUCUGUCCCUGAUCCUACCCCUCAGGCGGCAGCCUGAUGUGACUUGUGCUCUGUAGGCCCUGCGUUGACGCGCUGUGUGGGGUUCGUGUCCUCUCCCCUCGAGGUCUGUAGGAGCGCCCUGUCGCCCUGGGAGGCUUCUUGGGGGAGGUCAGCUGCCUGUUGAGUGUCUGCGAGAUGAUAUUGGUUUGUGUCUUGUGUGGAGUCCUUGACUUCAUCAGAGUUGCUGGACUUUUGGGCGGGACUGUGAGUUACAGAAUAGUGACUCUUGGUGACAUUCCCUCACUCUCCUUUCAAUGCCGGGAGGGUCUUCAUGGCAGUGAUGUCCCUGUGUGGGGUGAGAGGCAGUGGUGCCCACUCAGGAUGGAGUUUGUGUGCGGCUCCUCUGGCUUUCCCAGCGCUGCUGUCUGGAGGUGCAGGGUCAGUGCUGGUCUCCCGCCCGACUUCACCCUGCUGGGGUGGGGGUGGGGGCGUGAAUUCUGGCCGGUGCCCUCUCACGCCCCCUUGAGGAGGCCAUGGUGUGUCAGCUGUAAUUCUUCUCUUCAUUCUUGGUGUCUGUGUCUUUUCCCUGCCAGGUUCCAGGGUUUUAGUUUUUCCUUUCCAGCAGGUUAAUGAUAUUCUCUUUUUCCUUUCUGUUUGGCUUGGCAUUUGUCGAUGCGGUGUCCUCCGGGCUCGGGCCUGUGGUGUGCUGCUCUCAGUCUGCCCAGGCUGUCGCCACAGUGCCGCAGACCGUGCUCCUGGCUGGGAGGCCCGGGCCAAGGGGACAGCUGGUUUGGUGUUUGCAGCAUCCCGUUUCCUGGCUCAUAGACAGUACCCUCCUGCUGUGUCCUCCACUGGGAGGCCGAGGAGCCCCUGGGGGCCUCUCUCCCCUUCACGAGAGCUUUGCCUUGUGACCUGGUCACCUCCCAGAGGCCCCUCCCUCUGCUCAGUACCAUUGCCUUGGGGGUGAAGACUUGGCACACAACUUUUGGGGGCACACGUUAAGCCUGCAGCAGAGUCCCUCGAGGAGCAGCUAUGGAGAGCUCUUUGCUGUCCUCUUGGAUGCCUCCUUGCCCUGUCUCUUCUCCUCACCUUCCGGGGCUCCAGUACGCAACAUUGGGCAUCCAUGGUGUCUAGGAGCUCCUAGGGGCUGGCUUUCCCUUUCCCGUUCACUCCCUUCUUGAUGCAUCGGUCUGGGGAUUUCUGGCCGUGGCUCUUCUGCUCACUGCACCCUGGCUGCAGGGACCCUGCUGACAAGUACCUUGAACAUGCGCUUCACUUCUGUCGCCAUGUGUAUGACUGCCAGCGUUUCCAUUUGGCACUCUGGUAGUUUCCACUUCCUGCAUGUGGGCCAUCCUUUCCACGGGCUUUGAUGUCGCAGUCAUGGUCACUGUGAAUUCCCUGGGAGUUCUGACGUUGAGGUCUGCUUCUGCUGACUCUUGGGUACUUCUCCUUGUGCUCCUGUGUGUCUCCUGUUUUGGGUUGGUUCAACUGAUUUUGACUUCAUGUGUGGGGUGUCAGGUGAGGUACCUAACAUUAUGCUCAGCAAUGGUGUGCCCUGUUUUCUGGGCCCCUUCACGGGGUGGUUCCGCUGGCCGGAUGUGGCUGGCUUUGGGCUUUGCUGCAGCCUCACCUUCCUCUGGAGUUACCUUAGGUGGGGUGGGAUGGGCCUGUGUUCGCUCCCCAACGGCACAUGCAGGGGCAGCCUCUCUCCAUCCCUGCCCCGUGUGGGGAACUGGGUGGCCUGGUGUGGGUGCUCAGUGGCCUGGCGCAGCCUUGGUCUUGGGCAGGUGUGGUCUUGUGCCUAGGGCUUUCUCAGUGGCCCUGUGCUCUUCCUUUGCCUUGACUCCCUUACUCAUCCUGCAUGGGAGCAUCUCCUGCCCCUUCCUGGUGGGCCUGGAAGGGCCGCCUCCUGCAUUUCCAGGGAUGGAGGGUGAUUUCUUUAUUCUCUAGAAUUUGUGGGUGCCUUGUUUGCCCUGGAGCUAUGGGUCAGCAGCUGCUGUCCUCGACCCCCCAGUGUUUAUCAGGGGAGAGGGCAUUCCUACAGGGCUGCUGGGCUUCCACUUUUCUUGCCCCUGCACCCUGACAUACUGCCUGGCCUGCUCCAGGCUUCCUGGUUAGCACCUGGGUCCAGAGAGGAGGUUUCCGCCCUUGGGAGAGUGCUUACCUGCUUGCGUGCCCCACGGCCCUGCCAUUUCUGGGCUGCCUGCCCUUGGGCUCUGUCUUGUCUCCCCUGUCUGUAGGUAUCAACUGACUGUUGCCCUGAGACUUCAGCUCUGAUGAGUCCAAGAAAAUGAUGAGUUUGUAGUUUUGUAGUCUUUUCUUCUGUUGUUUCAGGGCAGCUCCCUUGGAGCUUCCUGCAGGGCAGGUGGCGGCAGGGCUGUAACUGUGGGAGCUGCGUUUUCUUGUUUGAAGCAAGUUUGAACUCUUCUCAUUGUUUAAGCCCCGGUUUUACACUCUGUGAGUGAGAAUUUUGUGUCUUUUGCCCAUUUUCCUUGCAGUUUUUUGAGCUCUUUACGUGCAGCCAUGUUUUCUUACUGCUUGGCUCACAGCGUUUCGCCAGGAAUCUGGGUUCGCUUCUGUUGCGGCACGUCUUAUUCCUGGUUCUCAUGCUUCUUGCUGCUGUCUCUUUGGUGGCACUGGCUAGCCCACCAGAAGGGUGCUGAGAGGUACUAGAUGUGGUGGCUUCUCCAUCUCCUGAUCCUUGUGAAUGGCUCCGGGUGUUUUCCUACUGAAUGAGGCACCCACUCAGGACGAAUGGUAUUUCCUUCAUCAGGCAGGAGUGUUGAGUUUCGUGGAUGUGGUUGGUAGCACCCAUGGAGACCCUCAUGAGGUUUUCCUGCAGGUUCAUUGCUAAGGUGUGUUACAGUGAUGGGCAUCCUCGUGCUGAACCAGCCUUGCGUUCCUGGGAAAACUGGCAGGUGGGACUUUGACUCUUAUUUCUUAGUGUUUUAUUUAGUAUUUUUGAAUUGCUCUUUAUGACAUUGGCUUACAGUCUGCCCGCCCCCCCACUUUCUUUCUUGAACUGUUCUGUACCAGCUUUUGGAAUCAAUGUGUCAAUGUUAGGCACAUGUCUUACUGGUAUCAUAAAAAAGGAUAGGGAACUUUCCUUUUGUUGUCAGUGGACAGACUUGGCCAAAUUCUUCUGCAAAACCUUCAGGUCCUGUGGCUCUUUAGUUGGGACAGAUUUGAUAACUUGUGUUUUUUCUGUUGGAACAGUGGGCCACUUUUGGCCGACUUCUCUGACCUGUGACAGUGCCACUCACAGUCCCCUUGGAGAGAGGCCCUGUGCAGACCAGAGCCUCUGGUCCUCAGCGCUUUCUCUCGGUGGUCACUCCUCCCGUAUAGCUUGGUGUGUUGUGUAGUUGUGUUGCUCCUUUUUUUCUUGGUUAAGUUGGUUCUGGGUUGUUUUUUUGUUAGUAGCUUUUUAGAAAAUAGCAUUUUGAUUUAUUAAUUAGGUUGAUUAUUUUCCAUUUUCUACUUCAUUGGUUUUUGCUUUUAUUUGUAUUAUUUCCUUCCUUGUGGCUGUUUUGAAUUAUUAUCAUUUUUUUCUAAUCUUUUGAGCUCAGAAUUUAGUGAAUUUGUUUUUCUUUUUUCAUAGAAAUAUUUAGAGUUACAAAUUCACUCUGAUUCCUGCNUGGAGGAGCCCCGGGCUCUGGGACUGUUGACUGAACCCUGCAGCGGAGGCCACAGCGAGGGGCUGGCUGUCUCUUGCCGCCUCCUGCCCAGCUCUCCAGCAACUGUGUGGCGGAGGCCUUGGUGUGUCCUCUGUGCUUCAGUCUGGACCUCUCUUCUGAGCCCUAGCCCUGAACCCUGUUGCUCUCGUCGGGUGGCUGGACCAUAGCUUGAACUCAGCUCUGCUCUUGAGUUUCCGAGCCCUCCUCCCACAGCCUUCCCCAUCUGGGUGAGUCACCCGGACCACGGUCCCAUUCUUCUGCUUGCUUAGGCCAGGGGUCGACAUGCUUGUCCCUGCAAGGGCCAGACUCUAGCAUCUGGGGUUCCCAGGCCUCCCCUGACUCUGGCUGUGGGGUGCUGAGGAGAUGGCACUCGGCAGUGCUACGUGAGUGGGCCUGGCCCUGCUCCACUCAGACCUCAGCCCCAUGCGCCUGCCCUUGGCUCGGGGCCUCUGGGGACCACAUGGGCCUUGCCCGUGCAGCUCCAGACGGCAGCUGUGUCCACCCAGGUGCCCCACAGGGAAGCGGCUUUCCUAGCACCCACCUGGUGCCUUCGUGCCCCUCAGAUGGUGCUGCCAGUGAGUGUCUGUCUUCACCAGUAAGUGCUGCCUGAUCUUCCUGUGAUGCCAGGUCUGUUGACACGGGACAGACACAUAGUGCCACUCGCUGCAGUGUCCAGUGAGCUCCAGGAGAGUUCCAGUCACGAUUGGAGCAUUGUGCCUUUCUCCUGCCUGAUGGUCUGUCCCUGAUCCUACCCCUCAGGCGGCAGCCUGAUGUGACUUGUGCUCUGUAGGCCCUGCAUUGACGCGCUGCAUUGCUCGAGGUCUGUAGGAGCGCCCUGUCGCCCUGGGAGGCUUCUUGGGGGAGGUCAGCUGCCUGUUGAGUGUCUGCGAGAUGAUAUUGGUUUGUGUCUUGUGUGGAGUCCUUGACUUCAUCAGAGUUGCUGGACUUUUGGGCGGGACUGUGAGUUACAGAAUAGUGACUCUUGGUGACAUUCCCUCACUCUCCUUUCAAUGCCGGGAGGGUCUUCAUGGCAGUGAUGUCCCUGUGUGGGGUGAGAGGCAGUGGUGCCCACUCAGGAUGGAGUUUGUGUGCGGCUCCUCUGGCUUUCCCAGCGCUGCUGUCUGGAGGUGCAGGGUCAGUGCUGGUCUCCCGCCCGACUUCACCCUGCUGGGGUGGGGGUGGGGGCGUGAAUUCUGGCCGGUGCCCUCUCACGCCCCCUUGAGGAGGCCAUGGUGUGUCAGCUGUAAUUCUUCUCUUCAUUCUUGGUGUCUGUGUCUUUUCCCUGCCAGGUUCCAGGGUUUUAGUUUUUCCUUUCCAGCAGGUUAAUGAUAUUCUCUUUUUCCUUUCUGUUUGGCUUGGCAUUUGUCGAUGCGGUGUCCUCCGGGCUCGGGCCUGUGGUGUGCUGCUCUCAGUCUGCCCAGGCUGUCGCCACAGUGCCGCAGACCGUGCUCCUGGCUGGGAGGCCCGGGCCAAGGGGACAGCUGGUUUGGUGUUUGCAGCAUCCCGUUUCCUGGCUCAUAGACAGUACCCUCCUGCUGUGUCCUCCACUGGGAGGCCGAGGAGACCCUGGGGGCCUCUCUCCCCUUCAGGAGAGCUUUGCCUUGUGACCUGGUCACCUCCCAGAGGCCCCUCCCUCUGCUCAGUACCAUUGCCUUGGGGGUGAAGACUUGGCACACAACUUUUGGGGGACACACGUUAAGCCUGCAGCAGAGUCCCUCGAGGAGCAGCUAUGGAGAGCUCUUUGCUGUCCUCUUGGAUGCCUCCUUGCCCUGUCUCUUCUCCUCACCUUCCGGGGCUCCAGUACGCAACAUUGGGCAUCCAUGGUGUCUAGGAGCUCCUAGGGGCUGGCUUUCCCUUUCCCGUUCACUCCCUUCUUGAUGCAUCGGUCUGGGGAUUUCUGGCCGUGGCUCUUCUGCUCACUGCACCCUGGCUGCAGGGACCCUGCUGACAAGUGCCUUGAACAUGCGCUUCACUUCUGUCGCCAUGUGUAUGACUGCCAGCGUUUCCAUUUGGCACUCUGGUGGUUUCCACUUCCUGCAUGUGGGCCAUCCUUUCCACGGGCUUUGAUGUCGCAGUCAUGGUCACUGUGAAUUCCCUGGGAGUUCUGACGUUGAGGUCUGCUUCUGCUGACUCUUGGGUACUUCUCCUUGUGCUCCUGUGUGUCUCCUGUUUUGGGUUGGUUCAACUGAUUUUGACUUCAUGUGUGGGGUGUCAGGUGAGGUACCUAACAUUAUGCUCAGCAAUGGUGUGCCCUGUUUUCUGGGCCCCUUCACGGGGUGGUUCCGCUGGCCGGAUGUGGCUGGCUUUGGGCUUUGCUGCAGCUGCAACCGCCCUGAAGACGCAGCCUCACCUUCCUCUGGAGUUACCUUAGGUGGGGUGGGAUGGGCCUGUGUUCGCUCCCCAACGGCACAUGCAGGGGCAGCCUCUCUCCAUCCCUGCCCCAUGUGGGGAACUGGGUGGCCUGGUGUGGGUGCUCAGUGGCCUGGCGCAGCCUUGGUCUUGGGCAGGUGUGGUCUUGUGCCUAGGGCUUUCUCAGUGGCCCUGUGCUCUUCCUUUGCCUUGACUCCCUUACUCAUCCUGCAUGGGAGCAUCUCCUGCCCCUUCCUGGUGGGCCUGGAAGGGCCGCCUCCUGCAUUUCCAGGGAUGGAGGGUGAUUUCUUUAUUCUCUAGAAUUUGUGGGUGCCUUGUUUGCCCUGGAGCUAUGGGUCAGCAGCUGCUGUCCUCGACCCCCCAGUGUUUAUCAGGGGAGAGGGCAUUCCUACAGGGCUGCUGGGCUUCCACUCUUCUUGCCCCUGCACCCUGACAUACUGCCUGGCCUGCUCCAGGCUUCCUGGUUAGCACCUGGGUCCAGAGAGGAGGUUUCCGCCCUUGGGAGAGUGCUUACCUGCUUGCGUGCCCCACGGCCCUGCCAUUUCUGGGCUGCCUGCCCUUGGGCUCUGUCUUGUCUCCCCUGUCUGUAGGUAUCAACUGACUGUUGCCCUGAGACUUCAGCUCUGAUGAGUCCAAGAAAAUGAUGAGUUUGUAGUUUUGUAGUCUUUUCUUCUGUUGUUUCAGGGCAGCUCCCUUGGAGCUUCCUGCAGGGCAGGUGGCGGCAGGGCUGUAACUGUGGGAGCUGCGUUUUCUUGUUUGAAGCAAGUUUGAACUCUUCUCAUUGUUUAAGCCCCGGUUUUACACUCUGUGAGUGAGAAUUUUGUGUCUUUUGCCCAUUUUCCUUGCAGUUUUUUGAGCUCUUUACGUGCAGCCAUGUUUUCUUACUGCUUGGCUCACAGCGUUUCGCCAGGAAUCUGGGUUCGCUUCUGUUGCUGGGCAUGGCCUUCCUUGCCACAUCCUGACUUGGAAUCCUACCUGGGAGGCUUGCCCAUGGGCGGCUGCUCUUUUGCCUUGCUUCCUGGUUUUCUUUUCUGUGUCGAGGGCUGUGGCCACUGGAGUAUGUUAUUUUGUCCUGUGAGGCCCAGGCUGCGUUCUGUCUUUCCGCAUGGCUAACCAGAUGUCACAGCACCAUGGGUGAGAGCCCUUCACGGUGCCGCACCCACUGCAUAUGGGAUUUCCAUGUCCACGGGCUCUGUUCGUAGACCCCUCUUAUUCUGCUGCUGUUUGUGUUUUCUUGUGCAGCUUUUGAACUAUGGAGACGUUCUAGCGUUUGUAAUAAUAGUUCUAACGUGGCAUCGUCCUGUACCCGUAGGUCCCCCUUUCAAAGGUGCUGUUUGGUGGUUUUAGUCGUUAGUAGUGUUGAGUGUUCAUCGCCACCGUCGUGGGGGCGCUCUCGAGUCCCCCUAAAAAGAGCACCUUGCUGUUGGCAGUCACUUCCUGCUCCCCAGCUCCCACUCCUCGCCCUGCCGGUCUCCUUCUGUCUCUUGAAUGUGCACAUUCUGGCCAUCUCGUGUAGGGGACUCUUGUAGGUGGCCGUUUGUGCCUGGCCUCUUCCACUGUGCUGCUGUUCCCAGCCCCUGCACUGUGGCCUGUGCCAGCUUCUGCUUCUCUGGGACCUUUGAGCGUCUGCUCACUCAGUCCUCUCUUCCUGUUUGGUGCUUCCCUGUGUUUGUGUAUAUCUCUGUGUGCCGCAGUCUGGCUGGGCACAAAACAACUGAGCCGCCACACAGCCUUGUAAGUUCAAACAGCAACCUUUACAGCACUCUACACACACUUCCCGGGAACACUCCCGAACCUCCAUGCACGCGCGCGGCCUUCUCCCCGGACACACCACACACCAACUGGCAUUCCCUCCUCUGGAAAUCCCUCCUCUGGCACUUCCCCAACCAACAGGAACUCCCCAGGAAUCCCCAGGAGAACUCCAAAGUAGCUGGCGCCUGAGGUGGACAGCAGGGGUCUAAUAUGCAAUUGAAUACACAGCUUAACAUAACCAUCAUCAUCUCAAUGGCUUGCUCUCAACCACUCCCUUCUGGCAAAAAUGCCAUGUGUCAUUCCCACUCUCAGCUAUGGCUCUCAGCAUCUGUGAACUUCCGGUCACUUUCUGGCUCCAUGCAGAUGCUUGGUACUUGUUGGUAUUUAGUGGGAGGGGAGAAUCGACAGUUCAUGAAAUGGUGGUGUUUAGCCAAAACCAAGGGGUGUCUUCCUGCGGGAUGCAGUGUUUCAGGGUCCCCUUUCAGGGUUUCCUGUGUCCCUAUCCACUCUCCCCGGGCCCAAUGUCCUCUCAGGUAUUGCCCAACACCGUCCGGUCCUUUGGCUGGUUACUUGUGUGUGCAAAGGCUCCUGGUUUCUGUGUGUUAGUUUUGCACCCUGAGCUCCCAGAGCCUGCUGCUGUUUGGCCCCAGCACUGCUCUAGGGUGUGCAUUGCCGUGGGGUCUGCAGGAGGCGCGGCACGUCUUAUUCCUGGUUCUCAUGCUUCUUGCUGCUGUCUCUUUGGUGGCACUGGCUAGCCCACCAGAAGGGUGCUGAGAGGUACUAGAUGUGGUGGCUUCUCCAUCUCCUGAUCCUUGUGAAUGGCUCCGGGUGUUUUCCUACUGAAUGAGGCACCCACUCAGGACGAAUGGUAUUUCCUUCAUCAGGCAGGAGUGUUGAGUUUCGUGGAUGUGGUUGGUAGCACCCAUGGAGACCCUCAUGAGGUUUUCCUGCAGGUUCAUUGCUAAGGUGUGUUACAGUGAUGGGCAUCCUCGUGCUGAACCAGCCUUGCGUUCCUGGGAAAACUGGCAGGUGGGACUUUGACUCUUAUUUCUUAGUGUUUUAUUUAGUAUUUUUGAAUUGCUCUUUAUGACAUUGGCUUACAGUCUGCCCGCCCCCCCACUUUCUUUCUUGAACUGUUCUGUACCAGCUUUUGGAAUCAAUGUGUCAAUGUUAGGCACAUGUCUUACUGGUAUCAUAAAAAAGGAUAGGGAACUUUCCUUUUGUUGUCAGUGGACAGACUUGGCCAAAUUCUUCUGCAAAACCUUCAGGUCCUGUGGCUCUUUAGUUGGGGCAGAUUUGAUAACUUGUGUUUUUUCUGUUGGAACAGUGGGCCACUUUUGGCCGACUUCUCUGACCUGUGACAGUGCCACUCACAGUCCCCUUGGAGAGAGGCCCUGUGCAGACCAGAGCCUCUGGUCCUCAGCGCUUUCUCUCGGUGGUCACUCCUCCCGUAUAGCUUGGUGUGUUGUGUAGUUGUGUUGCUCCUUUUUUUCUUGGUUAAGUUGGCUCUGGGUUGUUUUUUUGUUAGUAGUUUUUUAGAAAAUAGCAUUUUGAUUUAUUAAUUAGGUUGAUUAUUUUCCAUUUUCUACUUCAUUGGUUUUUGCUUUUAUUUGUAUUAUUUCCUUCCUUGUGGCUGUUUUGAAUUAUUAUCAUUUUUUUCUAAUCUUUUGAGCUCAGAAUUUAGUGAAUUUGUUUUUCUUUUUUCAUAGAAAUAUUUAGAGUUACAAAUUCACUCUGAUUCCUGCUUUAAAUUUAUCUCAUUGAUUUCCCUAUGUUGUAUUUUCAUUAUUAUUUUUUGAAAAUUCCUUCAUUUUAGUUUGUAUUUUUCCUUUUCUUCCAGGAGUUAUUUAGCAGGUUGUUUUUAAGUGGAAGGGAUUUCUUGGUUUUAGAAAGCAUUUUAGAUGUCACCUGUGCUGAUGCCAUGCCACAGUCCUAAUCAGACUGGCCUUGUGACCUUGAGAUCUUGCUGCUGUUCGAAGGAUAGACCUCGUGAGUGGUCCUGUGCUGCCAAGGGGUGCCCAGGCGUGUGGCCUCUGGGACCUUGCCUCUUGGCCACCCUUCAUGCAGGACAACUCUUGGUCUGGCUAGUUUCUUGACGUGACUCCUCUGAGGGCUGCUUCCUCUUCUUCUCAGAGGUGUGUCCGCUCUUUCCCUGGGUGUGUACUUUAGGCAGAAGCAUUGUGUGGGGCUGGCUUGUCCCCUUGGGGGGGGGGUGGUAACGUGGGGUCUGCUGGGCUUCUCCUAUGUAGUUGCUUUUUCCAUUUUUUAAUUAAUAAGACACUUUGAGGCCACGUGAAUAUCCUGUCCUGUGUCCUGAUGUCCACUCUCCACUGGCUGGCUUCUGUCCGUCCGCAGGACCUUCUCAUCGUGAUGGUGGGAACCACCUUCCUUGUUGGUCGCAGCCGCCUGCACUACGAGGGAGAGCUCUCCUCUUUCCUCAUUGCUGAUGUGGGCUCGAGGGUCUUUAUUCAGCGAGUUGUACUUCUCCUUGUCACUGCCUUUUUCAUGCUCAGACUGUUCCACACAUGGCCAGGGAGGCUUUUCCAGGCUGGUGCUGUGAGUUUCUGAGAUGGCCCUGCCUUACCUGGGCACCUUCGUGUGCAUUUGUGGACCUAGGUGCUCCUGGCCUGUCUAUUACUUUUCCCCUGCGGCUCUAGAAUCCAAUACUUCUCCAAGGGGUCUUAAUUCCUUGCCAUUCUUUUUUGAUGAAGAAGAGUGUUUAGUAGCCAAGAUUUUUAUGCUGGGUAUGCUCUUUGUCAUGGGGUGCGCUGGCAUCUCUGCCCUGUCAUUGGACUAAACUAGGAAGGGGCUAGGUGCCAUUAUAGAACUACGCAAAUGUGUAUAAGCAGGUGAUACAUAAACGCGCGCACAUCUGUGUCUGUAUUUUUCUGUAUACUGAAAAUAGCAGACUCAGGGCUGGGGCUGGGGCUCAGAGGUAGAAUACUCCCCUACCAUGCGAGAGGCACUGGGUUCAAUCCUCCGCACCACAUAAAAAUAAAAUAAAGAUAUUGUAUCCACUUUAAAUAAAAAAUAAAAAGUAAAAAAAAAUAGCAGAUUCAUACGGCACCUCAAGUGCUAAUCAAGUGCCCCUGCUUGGGGAACUUGUGAAGGAAUGCUUGGCCUCGGGGUAUGGCCAGGGUGCUAUGGAGCCUUCCUCCAUCCCCUCCCUCAGAGGGGAACCCACGUAAGGACACACCUGAGACCCUGGUGCCUGGUGCAGAGGGUGUGGCAUGGAAGCUGAGUGGCAGGAGGCACUGCCGCUGGGGGUUGGCAACCCGCCCAGCUCCUGGCUGCCUCACUCUGCUCAGCACGUUCCCUCUCGUUCCCUUUUCUUGUCUUAAAAACUGCGCUUGCUUUACAUCAGGAAUUCCCAGUACGGGUGCUGUGUUCCCCAAACAGGUCUAUACAACACUGUAGUUUUGGGACCAGGUGCAGCCAGACGGGGCUCGGGCUGUGGUGAGUCAGGGCUUGCUGCCGGAUGACCCCUGCCUCCUGUGAGGUGGUGGUUUUCACUCCGAGGUCUCUGUGCGCCUUCUGGCUUCGUGUCCUGAGGACACAUUUGUGUAGCUGACGCCAUCCUGGGGAGGUAGUGGCCAGUGGAGGGAGGUGGGGGUCCAGAUGGCAUUAGUCAGCUUGAAGGCUCCUGUGUGGGCUGAUUCAGGCUGUCUGCCUGGCCCUGGGCAGGGCAGCAGCCGGGCAGCUCACCCUCCUGGAGUCGCUGCCCCCAGUGCCGCCUAACCAGGGGUAGCUGCUGAGCUCUGAGCAGUGCGGCCAGGGCUGGCGCUGGCCACGGGGCUCAGGGUGGAGCAGGUGCAGGCAGCCUCCCUACUCCCUGGCAGACACCACGGCACGGGGAGCCUCACGCCCGCAGCUUGAAGCAGCAGGUGGGAGACAGCAGCAUGGUUCCAGGUGGCGGCUGCUGCGUGGCCUCUGUCAGCCCGGUGUGCUGGCUGCUGGGACUCAGAGGCCUUCUCCCUUCCAGGUGUUAGGGGCCGUCAGUGCCUGUGGCUCCUUCUUGGGGCUGGUCUGCAUGCUCACCUCCUGGGGUCGUUCUUCUGACUCCACGUUACAGGCGAGGAAACUGAGGUUGGAGGCCACAGGGCUGGAUGAGAUGUGGCUGUCAAGGCUGAGCCGUGUGACCUGGCCCUAGGUUCUGCUCCUGUGCUGGGACUGUGUUCUCUGCCUUAGACUGAGCCCAAGACCCAGAGAGGCUGGCUGUGUGUUAGGCCGUAAGAGUGCCGGCUGCUGUAAACAGGGGCUCAUUAGGCUGAGCCAGGCCGUGGGUGAGGCCCCAGUGCUGCCUGCUGCUGCCCUCCUGUGCGGUGCCUGUUCCUGCCUGCAGGAGCUGCCCUUGAGGGACCUUGGCCGGAGGGGCCCCUGCAGAGCACACCCCUCCAGCAGCCUCCUUCAUCUUCUCUCUCUCUCUUUUUGUUUUAGUUUUUUUAGUAGUUGAUGGACCUUUAUUUAUUUGUAUGUGGUGCUGAGAAUCGAACCCAGUGCCUCACACGUGCCAGGCAGGUUCUCUACCACUGAGCCCCAGCCUCAGCCCUCAACUUCUCCUCUUCAACUUUGCUCUGGAAAGUGGUUUUCCCCACAGGCAGGCUUCGAGAGUGAGUUUUCGUGGCUCUGGUGCCGCCUGUGCCUGCCGUGUGUGUGCCAGGGCCAGGGGUUCUCAGUGCUCUGCAGUGAGGGCUGCCCUUGACCUGGACCUCACCCGCUCUCAACACCACUGUUUGUUGCUGACUCUCCUUUUCUCCGUGAGCUCUGCGCAGCUGCAGUUGGGAUGAACACGAAGGCAGCAUCCCUCCCUCUAUAUACUGGGCAGGCUGGAGCUGAGAUUCUUGAGGAGGAGUUAAAUGCCAUCCUGUGCCACCAUUUGUUCUCUGGAGAGAUGGGGAGAACACAGGUGUGAGCCCAGCCCACCUGGGGCCAGAAUCAGCCUCAGGGAUUUCGUGUCCUCAUGAUCUGCCCACCUCACCUGCACCCUGUCCAGUGCCUUGCUCAUGUGAGUGUCUUUAAUUCUUCACGGGUCUCUGACCCCACAGGAGGUCAGAGGUUGCAUCUGUAAGGGUCUGGCUCCUAGUUGAUGUAGGGCCCUGGGCUCGUCUCUUUGCCCUUUGCUCCUGGGAACACAGUAGUGCUCCCUCCUAUUACCUCUGCUACUGCAUACCCUGGCCAUAGCUCAGCCCUGAGACCACCUGAGAGCAAUGGCUUGAGUUAUCCGGGUGUCUGUCCCUUUCAGCAGUUCAUCUUUUCCUCCCCCAUGUGACAAGCGUCAUCAACUUCUGUGUCUGUCAGCUGCAGCAUGAGACCCGCUCAGGCAGGCCAGGCCUAUCCAGUUCUGCUCUGUGUCUCACGGGGCUUGGGGUCUGGGCAGCAGGGAUUGGGUUCUUGUGACAUGAGCCGACUGACCCCUUGCCUAGCUCUGGAGGGAGCACUACUGCCCAUCUGGCAGGGAAAACAGGAUUGUAGCUGCCACGUCUCCUGUGUGACCCCGUAGAAGACCUGCUCCCUAGCUGGGAGACCCCUCAGCCAUGGGGAGGCAGGGGGCAUUCUGGGGACCCUGUUCCAGGGAACGUGGUUCCUUGUCUGCUGCUAGGAAGGGUAGCCCCAGCCUAGGGGAUUCCUUGUCUGAGGGGGCCCAGUCAUCCCUCUGCCAGAGGCUGGGGUCCUUCCUGGGACGCUGUCCUGGGAGCCUGGCCAAGGGGCCUGAGCCCUGUGUGCUGGUCCAGGGGUCUGAGUGCUGGGACCCUAGCCUGCGCUGGGCUGGGAGGGCUGACUGGCAGUCUGCUGACUGGCGUCACUCUGCUCCUGGACCUGGGAGCAGGGCUGAGGGGGGCGUUCCCUGGCACCCCCACUUCCUCUGGCACCUUGUAAACAGGAUCUGUGCAGUAUGAGGACAGACAGCUCCCUUCAGGCUGGCAGAGAGCUGGGGUCCCUGGGAGGAGUCUGGCGCCAGCCUGAGGGCUUGAGGCUGGAGGAACUGGUGGCAGGCUUUGGCCGGUGAUCACGGAAGCAGCGUGGUAGGAGGCCUCCUCAGGAGCAAGUGGGCAUUUUCUCUGGCCUCUGUUCAACCUUAGUCAGGCAGCCCCGGGUUUGGGGCCAUUUUUGGGUACAACAGGCUGGCAGCUUCCGCCCACCCCUCCUGCCUGGCCCUGCUGCCAGCUUCCGCCUGCUUGGGCUGCACACGGCCUCUGUAGCCUUUGUCCAGCCCUCCCUCCCUCCCUCUCUCUUUGUCUAGCUCACCAUUGCCCACUCUGGCCGCCACGCUCUGCGGAGGAUCUCCCAGAUCCCCCAGGCCUUGCCCCACCUCUCUCCUGGCCUCCUAGCCCUUCCUCUUGCUGCCCAGCCCCGCCUUUCUGAGUGCUGGCUCUUGCUGGAUCCCUUGCUCUGUCCUGGCCCGCCGCCUCCUGGAAGCCUCUGGUGCAUCACAGUGUCCGAAACUCUUAGCACCCUGAGCCACCCGACGAGUCGGAGCAUUGUGGAAAGAGCCAUGCCAGCCAGCCUGGAGCCCCGACUGCCUGGCCCACCCAGGGCUCGUCCCCUCUUUCUGUGCCCUGCAGUGCCCCUGCCUCUUGUGCUUAGGUACAGACGCGCUUCCCUGUGCUGGUCCCGUCCUGGAGGCUCUCGAGUCCUGGGUAAAGCCUUGCUCAACCUUGCCAACGGGAGGGCACUGCCUGUCUUCCAGGUGGCUGGUGAUGUGGGCAGCGUGGUCUAGCUGGAACUGAAGCUGUGUGUUGCGGUGAGAGAGUCUGAUUGCCUUCCUGCUUGUUCAAGAGUCUGCAUUGGCAGUUGGGAGUGACCUUGGGCGGGUUGAGCCUGGUUUUCCUCUUUUUAAAAUGGGGUUAUACUUAGCGCUGCAGGGAGCCAUGAGGAUUAAAGACACUCAUGUGAGCAAGGCACCUGGGCAGGGUGCAGGGGAGGUGGGCAGCCUGGGGCCCGUCAUGUCAUCUCCUGGUGUCUCUUUGGUUGCUUUGUACAUGAGACCCCUGUGAGUGCCAAUCUCAGAGUCGUGGGGUUGCUCAGGGAUGUGAGCUGUGCCCAGUUCCUAAGGUCACAGUUUGGUCCCUGGUGAGGGCCAGGAAUCUUGUUCUUCUGCCUCUCAGUAAAGGGCCAGGGACAGAGCCUGGAGGCCACCUUGCUCUGGGCCCUGGUGUCUUGGCUUACUAGGAUUUGGCUGAUUGUCACAAGUGGAUGGAUGAGGACUGCACUGGGGCUGGGCACAGGCAGGUGUGUCUUCUGAGGGUGCCUGGCUCCUUCAGGAAGGGUGGUAGGCAGUAUCCUGCCAAGUAGAAAUGUGUGUUUUAUGGAGAAGAGAGAUGCCUGGCAUGGUGUGGGGUAAGCAUGGGACCCUGAGGUCAGGCAUGGGCAGGAAGUGGGGUGGGAGCCCCUGGCUGGCCUGUGGGGUUGAUGGGUAGAAACUGCAGGGAGGAAGUCAAGGACACAGCCUGGGUGGAGGCACUGAGGUAGGGGGACAGCCUGGGCAUGGGCGGGCAGGGUCCCCAGAUGGCAGGUCCCCAGAGCUGAGGCAUGGCCAGCUUCCUGAAGCCUGUGAGGGCACAGGUGCCUGCCUGGUGGUUUCAAAGUGCGGGGCAUUAGGUGCUGGGAUGUGCGUUGGCUGUGCUUUCUGGGCCACUCAAAACUGCUCCUAGAUCACCCUGUUGGCUCUAGGGCCUGGGGGAGGGGGACAGGUGGGAUGCUGGAGACAGGGGUGCCAAACUCCAAGUUUGGGUUGGUGGGGCUGAGUACCCCAUGUGUUCUUGUCUCUCAGAAAUGGGACAUGCACCUGCUGGAUUGCAGGUGUCCCCUGGGGCCCAGGGUGCUGGCCAGGAGGCAUUUGUGUACUCAGGCCAGCCUCCUCUGGCUGCUGUGACUCACUGUGCUUCUCCAGCAGGCUGGGCUGAGCAGACACAGAGGUGUCACACCUUCCAUCACUCAACAGAAUGGACUUGCAAGCUGGAUGAGGUGGGGCCUACCGUCGAGGCCUGCUGGAGAGCAGGCCGCCCAGGGCUUCUCUUGCACCUGGCGGGUCCUGGUGCUGGGGCUGCUCAGCCCCUUUCCAGCUACCCCUCUGCAGUUGUGCCUGGAGACCCGAGUUCUGAAUCCCUUCCCACUUCCAUCUAAGGAAUCUCCCACCUCUCUCAGACCCUCAUCAAGUUUUCUUGUGCCCCUUCUCAUGAAAUCCAGCAGACCCUCUGCCCUUGGCAGCAAAUCACGGUAACUGCACCCACCCUCAGAGGCUAUCUGGGCCUCUCGUCCCCUGCCCGCCUUGCCUGGCCCUCCUGUGUUGACCCUGCGGCAGCUUCUCUUCCAGGAUGUCUCCAUAGGAAUUCACACAGCAGACCCCGCCUCUGUCCAGCCGACCCAGGGCUUCAGUCAUUUGCCGAGCUCCUUGGGGUCCUUCUAGCAUAAACAGCUGCCCCUUCUUUUCUGGAGUGGGGAGGGCACAGCACAGCCCACCUGCUUUCUCAGCGGGCAGGAAGCCAGGGCUUGCCCUCCCUCCUCCCUCCCUGGGUUCUGCCAGCCCUUUGCUAGCUCCACUGCUCUGCCCCUCCAGAGCCCAGCCCCAGCAGCAGUCCCAUUGGUGUCCCGCCAGCAGUCCAUUCUUGGUACUGGAGCAGCAGGAGACCCACUCCCCACCAGAUCUCCUCAUGUCCGUCACUUCUGGCCACUGCUGUCUGUCAUUCUUAGGAGUGUCCAGAUGCCCUCACAGGCGAGAGUGCCCUUUGAGCUCAGAACCUCCUGAGCUGCUGGACUUCCCUGUCUGGGGCUCUAGCUCCCCAAGCUCGCGGGAGGCCCUUUUGGAGUUCUCAGGCUGUUUGGGAUGAUGCCAGGACGUGUGUUCCUGGGCCAGGCAGGCCUGCACUGCACAUAUCGUGACAGUGCCUGGAGCCCAGUGGGCAUGCAGGGCAUAUCUGUGGGAUGGUGUGCAUGGCAAAGUGAGGUGGCUCUGGGGCAUCUUCCAAGGGCUUGAGCACGGCAUUGGGUUCUGCCUGACUCCUGUCUGCUAAGGGAGCCCCCAGCAGCCCUCCACCUCAUCUCCAGGCAAAUUUGUCUGCAUGAUGUUUCACUGGAAUCUUGCAAAUGAUCUUUAGUACUCUAAAGUUAUACAUGCAUAUAGUUUAGAGAGUAAAUGCAUUCUACAAGAUUAAUUAAGAAAAACAGCAAUCCCUGGUGCUCCUCUUUUGCCCUCCCCAGAGCCGAGUACGUCUGAUUCUGAGAGUAGAUUCUUUUGAUGUUUAUCUUUUCUCUAAAUGCUGCAUUGCUACUUGAUUUUUUUAAAGCAUUUAGGCAUUAUAUUGAAUUGCAAGAUGUGGAGAUUGAAGUCUCUUUUCACACCUCUGUGUACAGUUACAGGCACGCACACCCCCUCAGGCACUCAUGCACACAUGUGUGUGUACACACGCACACACUUGCACAUGUUACACUGGUGGCAUCCAAGCACACUGUGCACAUGCCACGCCACUUCUCAUCUCCUGCCUGCCUUUCUGGUUUCCCUGGGUUCCUGAUGGCCUUGUGUGCUUGGGUCCUAGACAUAGACCCUUCCACUUCCACCCUUCCUUCUUCCACUCUGUCUCAUGUUUCUUCGUAUCAGUGGUUUGUUGUCUCAUCUUCAUGAGGAAGUCUGUCCAGAACCUUCUAUGGGGCAUGGUCAGUGGGUUGCCCACCUUGUUCAGCCGCAGUCCUGGUUCCCUUUCCUGCCUCUGGUUUAGGCAUUCCCAGCUAACCUCCUUCCUUAGAUGACCCCUGGUUUUUAUGGAGUGCAUCGUGAAGUCCUCAAGUCUCCAUGGGACUGUGGGGCCUUUGUUAUCUGGGCUUCUUCCUCGGGGGGUGGGGAACAGUGCCGUUGUGUCUGGGCACUGCAGCCAGACUGCCUGGCUCUGAAGCCUGUCUCCUCCAGUCACCAGCUGUGUGACCCUGGGCAAGUUAGCCCAUGUCUCUGGGCCUUCGUUUCCACACUCUGCAAGGCAAAGGUGACCUUGCCAUCUCACAGGGCUUGAGCCUGUGAAGGUGGUGGGCUCAGAUGAGGGCUGCUGCUGUGUGUGGGAGUGCUGUCCGUUAACAGUCAGCUUUCUAGGGUUUCUUUUCAGAAGAGUUUCUCUCUCCUUCAAGUUGGGUCCCCGUGGGUCCUCGCUGUACCCACCUAGGUCCCCCUAUGAGGCCCUGCUGUGGAGGCCUCCUCGAGGGCUGAGGUCUGCCUCACAUGACCUGAUCUAACAUGGAGCCCUGGGCUCCCUAAGCCCCUCUGGGCCAGCAGUCCUCCACAACCUCUCUCCCCUGAGCCAGUCUCUGAGCCCUAUUCCCCGCCCACAGGGCACAAGGCCUCAGGCAGGUCCCCAGGGUUCCCUGGGGCUUGCAGGGUCCCUCUGCCAACUGUAUCUCCUGCAUAGCUGGAUUUCUUUAUACCCAGCGACCAGAUCAGUAUGAGGAUGCAGCUUGCCCCAGACCCAGGUGUGUGGCCGAGCCUGCCUAGAGACUGACGUGAGCACAGGUAACUCUCACUGAGGUGCUGUGCUUUGAAAACUGUAGUCAUUUUCCAUAAAAAUAUUUAGGUUAGGAUAAUUGGUUAACCAAUGUUAUUUCAAAAUGAAUUAACAAACAACUGAAAAGUCUGUUUAAUUUCAGACGAGUAAAUAUCUGUGGAUAGACUCCACAUAAACUAAAGCUCUUUGGGCCUCAGUGAUUCUUAGCAGUGUCCUGGGGGCCUGAGACCAGGAUGCUUGGAGUCCCUGCUGCCACUGCUUUGGUGGAUGACAGUGCGACCAUGCACAGGAGCUGAUCCCAGGUGGACUCCUUGGGGAUGCAGGGGCAUGCUGGCCUUCCUCAGGUGCUGGGACUCAGGCUUGCUUCUUACCCUCUGUGCAUCUAGCUCCCUCUGCUCCAGACCCCCUCUUCCUGCAGGCCUGCAUGGUUUGUGGGUGGUCACUGUAGGGUCUCCAAACUGAGGCUGGCCAGACUGCAGGUGUGACAAGUGACAAGCUGGAUCUGGAGGGCUGGGGUGUCCUUGGGGGAUGCACGCACAGGGACCACCUUAGGGUCUGGGAGCCUGGAGGCGCUGCUCUGGCCGCGUCCAGCCAGAGACCAUCUCAUGGCCCCUGGUCAUGGCUUGGUUUGGAGGCAGGGUGCCAAGCCGCUGGGUGGCUGGCGUCACUGUGGAGUUGAGAGCUGGGUGCCCUGAGCAUGUCACGUGUGCCACUGCUCCUAACAAACCUGGGGAGUAGGUACUUUCACUGCCCUAAUUUUAGAGAGGAAGAAACUGAGGCCCAGAGGGAUCAGUGGCUUAUGGAGAGUGACACAGGUUAACAAAUGGCUGGUCAGAUCCCCUCUGCAGCCUGACCCCUGCUUUGCCAUCCACUAGGGGCCGCUCAGGCAGAUGGUGCUGGAGGCAGAGAUGCUGCCGGCAGCUUCAGCUCCUGGGCAGCACCAGUCCAUGCGGGCAAGCCAGGGGAAAGCCAGCCACCCCGAAACUUGGUGGAGUGGGAACAGGGGAGCAGGGCUCCCGUGGGACUUCUGCAGGGAGAGCUCGGGCGUGACUUCCUCAGGGCCGUGUUUCUGUGGAGUAAGUGGCUGCUAUAAGGGGCUUGGUGGAGCCACUCCCUGGAGGCUGCCAUGAAUCCAAGGGUUCAGCUGGAAAAAGACACAGAGGACCCAUGAAGCCCCUCUCCACCUUGGAUCUGGAUUUAACCCCUUCUCUUUUUCUUCUUUCCCUCCCCAGUUUUUGUGUUUCUUCCAGCUCUUGAGGACGCUGCCUGCCCUUUCUGCUAUAAGAAGAUGUCGUAUGGGUCCAUCACCAGCGGAGGUGGCCUGGGGACCCGUGGACCUUUCAGGGGAUCCUCAAGGCAAGGCUGUCAGCCUCCAGGUAAAGACACACAGCUGGCACCUAGGAUGGGUGGGCAUGGUGACAAUGGGCAGGUCUUCUCCAUGUCAUGUUCCCUGAGGAGUGUGGCCCAUGACCAGAGACUGCUGUGGCUGCUGAGCUCCAGAUGCAGGGAGUGUACAGACUGAGGGGCUGUCCUGUGUGGGGGCAGACUGUGGGGUCAGCAUUCCUGUGGGGUGAGGAGCUGGCGCUCAGUGCUGAACUGUCGAUGAUGCCUGGGUGUCUGGUCGUGGCUGAGCGCAUGAAUGAUGACAUCCAGCCUUCUUGAUGCUGCCGCGGAGCAGGUGACCAUUUGUGUAGCAUGUGGAGAAGAAAACUGAGCCCUCACUUGGGGGAUGACAGCUCCCUGGGGCUGUGCAGCUGGCGUAGGGCAGGACUGAGAUCUACCCUGACACUUCUGAGUGCCAGAGCCCUGCCUGUGUGCGUCACUGAGCUCUAGGCCCCGUCCCCUGCACCUGGCCCUGCCUUGGGCCUCAUGGCCACCUCCCUGUUCAGCCCCCUGUAGAGCUGGUGUUGGACAGGGGCUGUUGCCAGUUUUACACAUGUGGGUGUGACCUGUAAGGCACCCCUGGCUCCCUUGUUAGGCACGCCCUGGCUGCCAGGCUCAUGCGGCUGCAGUCUCUGGUGCAGGGCAACCUCAUGAGCUGCCAUCUCGAGGUGGGGAAAGACAUGGAAUUUGGGGUGCCUGAGCUCUCUGCUCACCUCCCCCGGCUCUGGGCCAGGGUUAGGGUUCAGCCUAGCGGCUACUGCAAGCCUACAUGUGUUGGGCCUGACUCCACUGAGCUUCGGGUGGGGGCUUCUCUGUGGGUUGGGGGACUCUCUUCCCUGUGGCCCUCCAGGCUCCUGGCCAGUGCUCAGUUCCUCAGGCUGCCUGUUCAGAGGAGGAGGCCAGGCAUGGGCCACCACUGGGCUUGUCAUUGACGUUUAGCUCUGCGUCUCUAGCAAAGAGUGGGGCUGGUGUCUUUCUCACUUGUGGUGGGAAGUGGAUGGUACAGGAAGGGUGAGGGUCCCAGACCUCAUCAGAAGUGGCCACCUCCCUCUUCCUCAUGGGGCCACUGCCAUACAGGACCUCCCCUUCCUCUUCCCAGAGAACAGCAGCUGCCCAGGCUCCUCCACCCUCAGCCUCCUCUUCUCCACUGCCGGGUGUUGUGUGCCAGGCUGUGUUCUAGGAGCUGGAGGCAUGGGGUAGAGGAAGCAGGUGAGCCCCAUGCCCUAGGGUCACAUUCUGCCUGGGAGAGUUUCUGAGAUCACCUCACGUGGGCACCGUGAACUGUGUGAAGAGCAAGACUGGGCUGGCUAGCCAGGGCUGCUUGAGCCGAGGAGGUGAGGGAGCCUUGGAGGUGAGGGAGCCUUGGAAUGGGGACAGUCUGUGAGCCAUCAACUGGAGCCUGGGAGGGGUGGCAGUGAGAGACGUGGGCGGAAGGGCAGCAGGACAGUGUCCAGUCACAUGCCUCCUUCCACGGGGCUGGGGCAGCCCUCAGGGUCCUCGGCAGGGUGCAGGGCGAGCGCCUUUCUGAGCCCUCGGUCUGCAUGUGUUCUCAGGGCCCUGUGUGCGGUGCAUGCUCGUGGUUCAGGUGCAGAAUUCAUCGAUCCUGGGCUUCAGAUCCGCACAUGCCCUUUCAGCCCGCCUCCCUCCCUCCGGGCCCGAGGCCUGUGCGUGUUGCUCUGUUUCCUUAGUGCUGGUUUCGAAGUGGCUUUGGGCCUUAUCGAGUGGGAUUCGUGUAGUUCUGGGACUUACUUCUCCUCUGCAUUUUGUUCCUGAGGCCAAAGGCACGGCCAGGUCUCCUUGGGCUCAUUCUCCCGGUGCUCUGCAUGCAGCUCUGCAGUGCACUGUGGCAUCUCUGCCAGCUCCAUGUCUGAGGGACGCCCAGGUUGCUUCCCUUUCCAUGCCAGCACAGACAGUGGCCAGAGUCUUCAGGGUGGAACGAGGGUGGCAGUCCUGCGGGGUCCCUGUGCGCCUGCUCUUCUCGUGCCGCCCACCCUCUUCCUCCGGCCCCACUCCAUGUCUUUGUCAGCACCAAAUGGUGUUGGACAGGGCUGUUGCCAGGCUGUUGCCAGUUCACACAUGUGGGUGUGAGGCGGUCUGUCUGGCCUCAGUCUGUUUUCCUAGCUCAGGUGGGUGACCUUUCAUGUUUACUGGGCCCUGAGGUCUUUCCUGUAGCUCAUUGCUCUUGUUUUUAUCUUGGAUUUGUCUUGUUUUUCUACAUUUCCUCUGUGUUGGGGACGGAAACCCUCAAUGACGUGCUGUGGACACCCCCGUGGGUCGUGCCUGCUGUGGGCAGGAAUUCCCACUCCUCUCGCCCGCACCACUCUCCUGUCAGUUGGUUUAAUGAUGUGCCUUUGUGUUCUCCAGGAAAGUGACCUCGUUGAUGGCGUGAGGUCGUGUGAGCAGGGAGAGGGACUCUAACGUUUUUUCCACGAUUUGAGCAGCAAAUGGUCCAGACCGUGUAUUCUGCCUUUUUCUGCAGACCUGCAGCACUGGCCAAGGAGAGCCAGUGUCCCUUGGGGCCUCUCGGUCAGUUUUCUAUUCUGGUGUUAAAUGCGUCUUGAUUUUUGCAGCUUUCUCGUAAUUCUCUGUUUUCCAGGGCAGGUUGCCCUUCUCAUUGCAGUAUAGAAAUGCCUUAUGUAUUUUGGGCUUUCUGUUAUUGAACAUGAAGUUGAGAAUCAGUGUGUCACAUUCCUGGGUUUGGCUGGCUGGCUCUGGGUCCGCCUGCCCAGGCACGAGCCUUCACGGGGACCUCCUACCCUGAGCCCACGGCAUGUCGUCUUUGGAUGUGUGGUCUUCUUUCACGUCUUUUGAUAGAGCCUUGUCAUUUUCUCCAUGAAGAUUUACAUAUCUUAAAUUUGUUUCAACAGAAGAAGAACAACAAAAACAUGCUGCUAUUUGGCUGCUAUUUUCGGUGGUACUCUUCAGAGUAUGACACUUCUCCAAAUGUUUGUUGCUGGUGUACAUAUACAGUUGUUAUUUUAAAAAGCAGCGUCCAGAGAUUUUAUUUAAUUUAAAUGUUUUGCUCUUUUAACUUUUUAAACAUGGAUACUUUCAAACAUACAAAAGUAGACAUGGUGAUGUGUCUACCCCCAGGGCAGCCUUCUGUGUUCUCUGUUGCUACCCCCCACUCCUGCCCGGCUGAGCUUGUCUGAACCUUCCCAAACCCUGACGAGUCAGGCUUCUGGUCACCUGGCCUGAACAUCUAGUUGUCUCCAGUGACAGGGUUCCAGCGCUGCAGCAUGUCUCAGCCUCGAUGCUGGGUCACUGAGUUCUCCCGUGGCUGUUCUUGUGACACUUCUGUGUACCUUCUGAGCCCAUGAUCGCCUGGGUGCCUCCAUCUCGAUUUCUUUUGCCUCGAGGUCUGUUUGCUGGAGGGAGCAGGCUUCUGUGGAGUGUGGCCGACCUCUGCCCACUGUUUUGCACGCAGCUUCUGCUAAACUCCUCUCCCUAAUGGCCGUGACUUGUCCGCGGCAUCUCCUCAGUUUCCUGUAAGAUGACGUCGUUGUCUCUUCCUGUCCCUGGCUUCAUCCUGUUUGUUUUCUUCCCUUCCUGAGUUAGCUGGAGCCUCUCUCCGAGGAUUGAUGGAAUUGGUGACUGUAGAUGGUGCCCUGACUUACGAAGGGUCCUGCCCCCAUGAGCCAUCAUGAGCGUGAAUAUGCUGGUGUUCCUCCCUGGCGUGCCCAGUCUCCCUGAGGUGCUCAGGACCCUGCAGUACCUACAGCUGGGAGCAGAUGGCCUCACACCAAGGCUGUCUUAAUGAAGUGUUGACUCCUGACGCACGGAGACUGGCGUCUGCAGACACCAGGUGCAGGACCUCAAGGCAUGGUGUCCAGAAGGCUGUGGCAGCACAGCAAUCUGUAAAGUUGUAGUAGCUUCCUUGGUGAUCGUGGGAUUGCCUGGAUCUGCCCAGAAUUGCAGGGGAGGGUCCCCUGUGUGUCACCAGCCCAGGAAAAGGUCACAGUCCAGACCUUGAUUUCUAGUAACUGCUUUCCCACUCACAGUGAAAAGUCCGGCCGAACCGUCCCGAGUCACGACCCUCAUGUAUUCCUGUGAAUUUGUGGGCACAUAGGACUGUGUGUUUCUGGGAUUUUGCUGGGAGACUGGUUUUGUUUGUAGGAGUUCUGACUUCCUGUUAAGUUCCCUUAUAGUAAAAAUCUGUUCAGGUUUUUGUUUCUCCUUGGGUCAUUUUUUUAAGUGGCAUUUUCUGGAAAAGCAUCUGCUUCAUCCAGAUGUUCCCGUGUAUUGAGGUGGAAGGAAUGUGCACAGAGCUUGUCCUGGCCAGGUGCCACGUGGGCAGCACCCUGGGUGGGCUGGAGCGCAGACUCCAAAUAGCCUGCUCUGGGCCCAGCACCAUCUGAAGGUAGCAGGCGAGUUGGCCCCUGCGCUGGGCCACCUGGGGUCCAGGUUGAGUGAGUUGCUUCCUGUGUAGCCAGGGCCUCAGGAGGCAUGCAGUGGCCAGUCGCCCUUGUUUGACUCAGGUUGUCAGUGUCCGAGUGAUGUCCCCUUCACUCCUGACAGUGUGUUCGCCUUCCCGUUUUCCUCUUUGAAAUAGGUGUACAGAUCUCUCUGUGAUGUGACUUCUUCAGAAAGACUUCAUCUUUCUGCUACUUGUUAGCUUCAAAUUUUAAUUAAUUUCUGCUUGUAUUUUCUUUAUUUUCCUCCCCUUUUCUCGAAUUGAUGCUAUUUUAUUUUUUCUGACUUGCAGAUUGGAUAUUCUUCUUGUUCAUAGGCAAUACUCAGCUUUUAUUCUUUCCUAAUAAAAGUAUUUAAAAUAAAUAAAUUUCCAAAGAGGUACACUUAGUUGAAUACCACACAUUUAAAAACAGAGUAUUUAAAAAAUUUUUUAGGGCUGGGGAUGUGGCUCAAGCGGUAGCGCGCUUGCGUGGCAUGCGUGCGGCCCGGGUUCGAUCCUCAGCACCACAUACAAACAAAGAUGUUGUGUCCACCGAGAACUAAAAUAAAUGUUAAAAUUCUCUCUCUCUCUCUCUCUCUCUCUAAAAAAAAAAAAAUUUUUUAGUUCUAAAUAUUUUCUAAUUUCAAUUAGGAUUUCUUUGACCCAGGGAUUAUUUACAAAUAUUACUAAUUUCUAAGCAUAUGUAUUUUUUUUCAUGUCUUUUAAAAGUGAUUUCUAGUGUAAUUUCAUUUCCAUCAGAAAAAGGCUGGUGUUGUCUUGACAUGUUGACUUCACACUGGGGCUUUGUCAGGGUGCUGGUGGGGUCUUAGCUCACUCUUUGGUGCAGUCCCCUCUACCAUGGUUGGUCUGUGAAGGCUUCGGUGGGGCUGGCUGAAGAGGCCCAGUUACUUCCAGGCAGGACAGCGGGGAGACAGACAGCUGNGCAGGACAGUGUCCAGUCACAUGCCUCCUUCCACGGGGCUGGGGCAGCCCUCAGGGUCCUCGGCAGGGUGCAGGGCGAGCGCCUUUCUGAGCCCUCGGUCUGCAUGUGUUCUCAGGGCCCUGCGUGCGGUGCACGCUCGUGGUUCAGGUGCAGAAUUCAUCGAUCCUGGGCUUCAGAUCCGCACAUGCCCUUUCAGCCCGCCUCCCUCCCUCCGGGCCCGAGGCCUGUGCGUGUUGCUCUGUUUCCUUAGUGCUGGUUUCGAAGUGGCUUUGGGCCUUAUCGAGUGGGAUUCGUGUAGUUCUGGGACUUACUUCUCCUCUGCAUUUUGUUCCUGAGGCCAAAGGCACGGCCAGGUCUCCUUGGGCUCAUUCUCCCGGUGCUCUGCAUGCAGCUCUGCAGUGCACUGUGGCAUCUCUGCCAGCUCCAUGUCUGAGGGACGCCCAGGUUGCUUCCCUUUCCAUGCCAGCACAGACAGUGGCCAGAGUCUUCAGGGUGGAACGAGGGUGGCAGUCCUGCGGGGUCCCUGUGCGCCUGCUCUUCUCGUGCCGCCCACCCUCUUCCUCCGGCCCCACUCCAUGUCUUUGUCAGCACCAAAUGGUGUUGGACAGGGCUGUUGCCAGGCUGUUGCCAGUUCACACAUGUGGGUGUGAGGCGGUCUGUCUGGCCUCAGUCUGUUUUCCUAGCUCAGGUGGGUGACCUUUCAUGUUUACUGGGCCCUGAGGUCUUUCCUGUAGCUCAUUGCUCUUGUUUUUAUCUUGGAUUUGUCUUGUUUUUCUACAUUUCCUCUGUGUUGGGGACGGAAACCCUCAAUGACGUGCUGUGGACACCCCCGUGGGUCGUGCCUGCUGUGGGCAGGAAUUCCCACUCCUCUCGCCCGCACCACUCUCCUGUCAGUUGGUUUAAUGAUGUGCCUUUGUGUUCUCCAGGAAAGUGACCUCGUUGAUGGCGUGAGGUCGUGUGAGCAGGGAGAGGGACUCUAACGUUUUUUCCACGAUUUGAGCAGCAAAUGGUCCAGACCGUGUAUUCUGCCUUUUUCUGCAGACCUGCAGUACUGGCCAAGGAGAGCCAGUGUCCCUUGGGGCCUCUCGGUCAGUUUUCUAUUCUGGUGUUAAAUGCGUCUUGAUUUUUGCAGCUUUCUCGUAAUUCUCUGUUUUCCAGGGCAGGUUAGGUUGCCCUUCUCAUUGCAGUAUAGAAAUGCCUUAUGUAUUUUGGGCUUUCUGUUAUUGAACAUGAAGUUGAGAAUCAGUGUGUCACAUUCCUGGGUUUGGCUGGCUGGCUCUGGGUCCGCCUGCCCAGGCACGAGCCUUCACGGGGACCUCCUACCCUGAGCCCACGGCAUGUCGUCUUUGGAUGUGUGGUCUUCUUUCACGUCUUUUGAUAGAGCCUUGUCAUUUUCUCCAUGAAGAUUUACAUAUCUUAAAUUUGUUUCAACAGAAGAAGAACAACAAAAACAUGCUGCUAUUUGGCUGCUAUUUUCGGUGGUACUCUUCAGAGUAUGACACUUCUCCAAAUGUUUGUUGCUGGUGUACAUAUACAGUUGUUAUUUUAAAAAGCAGCGUCCAGAGAUUUUAUUUAAUUUAAAUGUUUUGCUCUUUUAACUUUUUAAACAUGGAUACUUUCAAACAUACAAAAGUAGACAUGGUGAUGUGUCUACCCCCAGGGCAGCCUUCUGUGUUCUCUGUUGCUACCCCCCCACUCCUGCCCGGCUGAGCUUGUCUGGUCACCUGGCCUGAACAUCUAGUUGUCUCCAGUGACAGGGUUCCAGCGCUGCAGCGUGUCUCAGCCUCGAUGCUGGGUCACUGAGUUCUCCCGUGGCUGUUCUUGUGACACUUCUGUGUACCUUCUGAGCCCAUGAUUGCCUGGGUGCCUCCAUCUCGAUUUCUUUUGCCUCGAGGUCUGUUUGCUGGAGGGAGCAGGCUUCUGUGGAGUGUGGCCGACCUCUGCCCACUGUUUUGCACGCAGCUUCUGCUAAACUCCUCUCCCUAAUGGCCGUGACUUGUCCGUGGCAUCUCCUCAGUUUCCUGUAAGAUGACGUCGUUGUCUCUUCCUGUCCCUGGCUUCAUCCUGUUUGUUUUCUUCCCUUCCUGAGUUAGCUGGAGCCUCUCUCCGAGGAUUGAUGGAAUUGGUGACUGUAGAUGGUGCCCUGACUUACGAAGGGUCCUGCCCCCAUGAGCCAUCAUGAGCGUGAAUAUGCUGGUGUUCCUCCCUGGCGUGCCCAGUCUCCCUGAGGUGCUCAGGACCCUGCAGUACCUACAGCUGGGAGCAGAUGGCCUCACACCAAGGCUGUCUUAAUGAAGUGUUGACUCCUGACGCACGGAGACUGGCGUCUGCAGACACCAGGUGCAGGACCUCAAGGCAUGGUGUCCAGAAGGCUGUGGCAGCACAGCAAUCUGUAAAGUUGUAGUAGCUUCCUUGGUGAUCGUGGGAUUGCCUGGAUCUGCCCAGAAUUGCAGGGGAGGGUCCCCUGUGUGUCACCAGCCCAGGAAAAGGUCACAGUCCAGACCUUGAUUUCUAGUAACUGCUUUCCCACUCACAGUGAAAAGUCCGGCCGAACCGUCCCGAGUCACGACCCUCAUGUAUUCCUGUGAAUUUGUGGGCACAUAGGACUGUGUAUUUCUGGGAUUUUGCUGGGAGACUGGUUUUGUUUGUAGGAGUUCUGACUUCCUGUUAAGUUCCCUUAUAGUAAAAAUCUGUUCAGGUUUUUGUUUCUCCUUGGGUCAUUUUUUUAAGUGGCAUUUUCUGGAAAAGCAUCUGCUUCAUCCAGAUGUUCCCGUGUAUUGAGGUGGAAGGAAUGUGCACAGAGCUUGUCCUGGCCAGGUGCCACGUGGGCAGCACCCUGGGUGGGCUGGAGCGCAGACUCCAAAUAGCCUGCUCUGGGCCCAGCACCAUCUGAAGGUAGCAGGCGAGUUGGCCCCUGCGCUGGGCCACCUGGGGUCCAGGUUGAGUGAGUUGCUUCCUGUGUAGCCAGGGCCUCAGGAGGCAUGCAGUGGCCAGUCGCCCUUGUUUGACUCAGGUUGUCAGUGUCCGAGUGAUGUCCCCUUCACUCCUGACAGUGUGUUCGCCUUCCCGUUUUCCUCUUUGAAAUAGGUGUACAGAUCUCUGUGAUGUGACUUCUUCAGAAAGACUUCAUCUUUCUGCUACUUGUUAGCUUCAAAUUUUAAUUAAUUUCUGCUUGUAUUUUCUUUAUUUUCCUCCCCUUUUCUCGAAUUGAUGCCAUUUUAUUUUUUCUGACUUGCAGAUUGGAUAUUCUUCUUGUUCAUAGGCAAUACUCAGCUUUUAUUCUUUCCUAAUAAAAGUAUUUAAAAUAAAUAAAUUUCCAAAGAGGUACACUUAGUUGAAUACCACACAUUUAAAAACAGAGUAUUUAAAAAAUUUUUUAGUUCUAAAUAUUUUCUAAUUUCAAUUAGGAUUUCUUUGACCCAGGGAUUAUUUACAAAUAUUACUAAUUUCUAAGCAUAUGUAUUUUUUUUCAUGUCUUUUAAAAGUGAUUUCUAGUGUAAUUUCAUUUCCAUCAGAAAAAGGCUGGUGUUGUCUUGACAUGUUGACUUUUCACACUGGGGCUUUGUCAGGGUGCUGGUGGGGUCUUAGCUCACUCUUUGGUGCAGUCCCCUCUACCGUGGUUGGUCUGUGAAGGCUUCGGUGGGGCUGGCUGGAGAGGCCCAGUCACUUCCAGGCAGGACAGCGGGGAGACAGACAGCUGUGGAGGGACAUGCCUGCAGGGUGAGGACAGCUACAUUUACCCAGUCUCUGCUGGGCACCGAGGUCCUGUUUCCCCAUCCGUAAUUAUGCAGCUUUAGGGCUUGUUCUCCAUUGAACUGUCUGGUCCCAGAGCAGCCAGCUUGGGGCGCCCGGAAUGUUCCCUCUCUCAGCCUCUUUUUGGAUUCCGUCUUAGGGAAAAGUCAGUGAGGCAGGCAGAGGUGCUCACCAUAGCAUGGUUUCACAGUGCCAACUCAGAAAGACUGUACGUACCAGUGCAGGGGUGCGGUCCACUAAGUGGCAGUCCAUAAUGCAGUCUGACACCUCACGAAAACCUUAGUGUAGUGGGGCACUGGCACAACCGAUGUGACCCAGCCACUUGGGAGUGAAGGCAAGAGGGUUGUGAGUUCAAAAUUAAAAGUAAAAAGAGGCUGGGGAUGUAGCUUAGUUGCAGAGGGUUCAAUUCUUAGUACCCCCCUCCCCCGCAAAAAAUUAAAAUAAACCACAGUGUUGAAGGACCUUGAGUGAUUUGCUAUGUGUUACAAUUAGUGACAAAUGUGGUAAAUAAAAGAAGCAAAGCCAUAUACAGUAUUUUAACAGGUUAACAUUUAUCUGGGGAUAUCUUUUUUUUUUUUUUUUUAAUUUAUAGUUGUAGAUGGACAGCAUGCCUUUAAUUGUUUUAGCUUUUUAUGCGGUUCUAAGGGUUGAACCCAGUGCCUCACACAUGCUAGGCAAGUGCUCUGUUACUGAGCUACAGUCCUAGCCCCAUCUGGGGAUAUCUUGGUUGCAAAUAAUUUAUUUUUAAAUUCAUAAUUGUCUGCAUUUUUAAAAAAGUAUUUAUCUUUAUUUAUUUUUGUGUGGUGCUGAGGAUUGAACCUAGUGUCUCACAUGUGCAAGGUGGGCACUGUACCACUGAGCUACAGCCCCAGCCCUAAUUGUCUGCAUGUAAUUUGUAUUAUUCUACUCUAAAACAAUAAAUGUCCCAGGCUUGUCCACCCCCAAGUUCAAGGUGUGUGUGAUUCAGGUGAUCACACUGGACCAGCCCUUGUAGGGGUGUUUGGGGGAUCCCUGUGAGAUAAUGGGCCCUGCAGCCUGGCUGGGGUGGCCGGGUGCCGGCGUGGUGAGAUGCGUGAUGGUGGGGGCGCAGGCAGGGCAGUGUGGGUCCCCACUGCUGAGCAAAUGGUGGUCCCAGUCACUGAGCGUCUGUACCUCCUCUGGGCAGUGACUGCUGGGUGGAGACUGUGUCUUCUGCAGGGAGAGCGUGGGAAGGGGGCCCUGCAGGUUCUCAGACACUAGGCGUAGGUCCGGGCAUCACCCCCGUCUGUGAUUGGCCAGGGCUGCGUCUGUGGCCUUUCUCCCCAGGUGUCCAGAGCAUUUGCUCUUACUCUGUCUCUGAAGAUCACCUGGUGCGGUUCUUUGUCCUGUGGGAGCCUCCACCCCUAGAGCAGCUAGAUUGCAUCCUUCCCUCUCUCCUCCCUGACUUAGCUGUUUCUCUGCUGUGGCUAAAGGAUCUGACCAGAACAACUGUAGAGGCUCACAGAGGUCUUAGUCCAUAGAAGGCUGGCUCCAUUCCUCAGGGCUUGAGGGGAGGCGGAACAGCAUGGUGGAAGAGUUGGCAGAAGGAAGCAGCUCACAUGUUGAUCAGGAAGCAGAGAGAGUUUCUAUCCCCCAGAUACAAAAUAUAUACCCCAAGGCCAAGUCCCACCUCCUCCACCCAUUCCCUACCACUCCAGUUACCACUCAGAUAAUCCUCAUUAAGGGAUUAAUUCACUGAUUGGGUCAAGACUCGCAAUCCAAUCAUUUCUCCUCUGAACCUUCUUGCAUUGUCUCACACAUAAGCUUUUGGGGUACACUUCACAUCCAAACCAUAAUACUGCCCUCCUGGCUGGUCUCCUCGUCCCAAGGCAGAACUGGAGUAUGUGUGGCCAUUUCUGGACAGUGAGCCAGGAGGCCUGGGUCCCCUCGCAGAGUCUGUAAGACCAGGGUAGCUUGGGGCAGUGCAGCCCUCAGGCAGGUGUACGGUGGAGGAGGCACAGGGAAGGUGGCCUCUGCAGAAGGGCCUGGGUGGACUUUCCUCCUGCCAGAGAGGCCUCUUCUUGGUGCUUCUAGGGAACUGGCCAGGGGGACAGGGCAGAGCUGUUGGUCUUGCAUGCUUCUCUUGAGGGGGCUUAGGUACCUUAAAAAAGUCUGCCCCGAAAGUCUUCCAGCAUUGGGGGCUGUGCCCCUGCCUGUGGGAAGCCCACCCUUGCUCCUACGGAGCUGAGUAUUUUCUUGGCAGCAGACCGGGCCCUUGCCUCCAGGAAGCCACAGCUUGGAGACAAAGCUCACGGGUAGGGAAAGACAGGGAGGCUCUGGUGCUGCUUGCUGGCCUGGCCGGGGCCCCGGUGGGCUGGGGCGGGAGGGCUGUGGCACACUGGGUGGCAGGGGAGCGUACUGCAAAUCAGGCUUUCUCUCCUGCUGCUGCCAUGCUCCAGCGUGGGCAUGGAGGCCAAGGCCAGUGCCCACUGGGCUCAUGAGGCUGUGCUUUGGCAGGCGGCCAGGUGUAGAUGGCACUCUGGCCUUUUGCUGGCAAGGGCUGUUCUCAGGCAGGGGUUGUCCUAGGGGUAGCCCCAGCGGGAUGGACAGGGCCCAGGGGUGGCUGUCCCUGCCUUUCUGCCAUGGUGGUGAAGAAGAAGGGAAGACAGGCAGGCCAGUGGAAGCUAGGGGGUCUUGAACCCAGGACUCUGGGUGCCCAGCAGGGAGGUAGUCAGGAGCAGGCAGCUGUGUCCUGAAGCAGCAACCACAGAGGAGGCGCCCUGGGAGCUCUGCCGAGCUGCCACCCCCGCCAGGUCCAGGGGCCUAAACACCCGCUUUGGUGCCUUUCCAGGACUAGGCGCUGCCUCCAAGGGCCGCCGGACCCUGGAGCCCGCCUCGCCCCCUGCCUCUGGCCCGAGGAAGGACCCUGCUCUGGGGCCCCCUGGCCGGAGGGCGGGACCGAGUGCCAGCCGGGCCAAGAAGAGGAAGCCCAACUUCUGCCUGCAGGAGACGGAGGUGCUGGUGUCCAAGGUCAGCAAGCACCACCAGCUGCUGUUUGGCACGGGGCUGAUGAAGGCCGAGGCCACCCGUAGGUACCGUGUGUGGAGCCGCAUCCUGCAGGCCGUGAAUGCCCUGGGCUACUGCCGCCGUGACGUCGUUGACCUGAAGCACAAGUGGCGGGACCUGCGUGCUGUUGUGCGGCGCAAGCUGGGCGACCUCCAGAAGGCCACCCCUGAUCCUGGCCUGGGCUCCGGCAAGCCACAGGCCUUGGCCCUCACACCUGUGGAGCAGGCAGUGGCCAAGACCUUCUCCUGCCCAGCCCUGCCUGCCGAGGGCAUUGGCCUCGAGCUGCCCAAAGGUGAGUUCCUGGGCCAGCUCGCCCUCCAGACCUGUGCGGUGGCCAGAGGGAGGGUGGCUGCACCUUGGCCGCAUUGCUACACCUUCCUCCACAGUGGUCUCCUCCCUGUCCAUGUCUUCCUCUGUCCCACUGUUGUCAUUCAGAAUGUCCUCGUUCAUUGUUCGUUGCCCCACUCCCUCGUUCACUUAUGCCUGUUCAUGAUGUUCAGACAUCUUUAAUGUGCCAAGGUGCUCAGAAGUGGGUGGUGACUGCCCACCUAGCUCUUGCCAGGGCCCGCCUUGCCCUGUCCUGGAGCCACGCGGAGCACAGGGACAAGUGAGCCUACUUCUCUUCUCCCAGUCAUUUAGGCAGUCUCUUCAAUGUGAUGGGAGUAAGAGAUGUUGGGAUCGUAACCACUGCUGAGUUACAGGAAUUUCAAAGCUGGAUAUUUUGCUGCUUUUUCCUGUCCUAUUCAUUUAAAAAAAAAAAAAUGCUCACUGUGACUUGCUAAGUUGGUUCAAUGACCUGGUUUCAGAGCUGUAAUGUGAGAUAAUGCUGCUGUGUGAUGGUAUUUAUUUUUUUAUCUAGUUAUUAUCAUGGAUUAUACCCAGGGGCACUUAACCACUGAACCACAUCCCCACCCCAUUUUGUUUUUUUAUUUAUAAGUUGCUUAGGGUCUUGCUAAGUUUCUGAGGCUGGCCUUGAACUUGAAAUCCUUCUGCUUAUUUAUUUUUAAGAGGGGGCCUGUUGCUGUGUUUGACAGGUUGGCUCUGAAUACCUGGGCUCAAGCCGAUUUCCAGUCUCAGCCUCCAAGUGGCUGGGAUGCAGGAGGGUGCCACCGUACCCUACGCUAUGUCCCUGCCCGUCAGAGACCUCAGUCCUGGUGGAUUCAGCCUCCUGCAUUAUGGUGGGCAGGUUGAGACCUGGGGGAAGGGUUUGCCUAGGGCCUUUCUUGGAGCACCCAGAGGGUGUAACUCUGGGGGCAAAUGACAGGUUGGGGAGGUCAAGAGAGGUCAGUUAGGCCUGAAGUCCAGGAGCUCUGAGUGGGGCCCAGAUAUGUGCAGGUGUGGGUGACUCCUAGGCCAUGGCAGCAGCUGCUGUACUAGGCCAGGAAGGAGUUGUGGGCCCUGCAGAGGAUCCCAGUUGUGGAGGGUCGAGGCCCUGUUCUGCAGGGCCUGCAGUGUGAUAUCGGGUUACAAUGUCUCCAGAGCUCAGGGCUGUGGCUGGAUGACCAUGACGGUCCCUAGUGUGUGUGCUCAGAUCUGCUCUGCCGCCCAGGGGCGUGUGCAGUGAAGACGAGGUGCCCCGUGCCGAUGCCUGUGGCAGAGCUGGCAGCCUGCACAGUGUCUGAACAGGUGCUCCAGGCCCCUGGCCUGAGGGUGGGCCUUGGAGAGCUUUGAAACCAGGUCCUUAAAACAGGUAGAGAACUUAAGACUUGUGAAGAUGGUGCCAUCUGACUAGCAGCUGGCAUGUGUACUGUCCCCUUCUCCGAUACCACCCUGUGCUGGACAGUCUUCUGGCUGCUGUUCCUUGUUUUCUGCAGGACGUGGUGUCCUGGAAGCUGUAGGACCUGCCCGUGUGCUGUCAGGUGGUGGGGGCCCUGGGAUCUCUGAGGGCAAGGUCUGGAAAGGUCCCUGGGUCCAGACUGUGGGGCCCUCACUUGCUUCCUGCAGAGGUGAGGUUGAGGGGCUGCCUGAGGCCACACAGCCAGGGUCUUGCUAAGUUGAGCUGGUGCUGGGCCUUUGGCAGGCACCACAGUCUCUUAUUUUAUUAUUUUAUUUCUUAAAUGAAAUAAUAGUCACACAUCAGAAUUCACCAUUUCACCCUUCUUACGGUGUGUAGUUCAGUGGUUUUCAGCAUAUUCUUGCCGUCAUGCGUCUGUCACCUCCAUGUAACUCUAGAGCAGAUCUUGUCACUUGCAGGCAGCCCGUGCUCUCUAGCAUCCGCUUCCUGCCCCUGGCCUUGCAUGAUCUGGCUCUUCUGUGGUGGCACCUCCCAUGCACCUUCAUGUUGCUGGUGACUCUUCCAGCCUCAACCUUCUCUUCUGGAGAGUGGGAUUGAGUGCUCCGCAGUCGGUGCUGUUGGCGUUUUGGGACAGUCUUCACAGGGCGGUGCUUCUACUUAGACGGGGAUUGACACCUAGGAGUUGAAUUGCGGCUUUGACCACCAGCACACUGUUUUUCCCAGUGCUUGUACCUGAGCAGUGGGAGCGAGCGCACUUGCUCUCCACCCUUGCCAGAGCUGGCGUCGUGGGACUUCGGGGGUCCAGGCACCGUGGGUGGUGAGGACUGGUGUCUGGUUGGUUGAGGUUGGGUUUGCCUUUCCCUGGUGUGGAGCGUCCUGCUGUGUGUACUGGCUAUUUGUAGUGUCUAUUUGAACCCAUCGCAGUGUGAUAUCGGGUUACAGUGUCACUGAGCUCAUUAUUCUGAACAUUAUGUUAUCUUGUCACGUGUCUGAAUUUGAAUAUUUUCUUCAGACUGUGGCUUGUCUUUGUUUUUGCAGGUGAAAAGUCUCACUGUUUGAGCAGUUUCUCCCUCUGUGCCUUUGUUUGUGUCCUGCCUCAUAAGUCUUUGCCCACUCCCAGGCUGUGAGAAGUCCCUGCUGCUCUAAGUGUAGAAGUUCUGGGCCUCAGGCUUCUGCACUUGAACCUGUGACGCACACUGAGUCAGCGUUGUGCGUGAUGGGUUUGGGUCAGUUGGGUUUUAGGUGCUGGGCUGCUUUGCUGUCUCUGUCUCAGGCAGAUGGCCGUUCACUUGGCUGCCCACUUGCUUCCGUCUAUCUGAAUGUCUGUUGGAGUAAGUUGUAGGUUAAUCCCGUGAGACUGCCAGAGACCCCAAGUCUCCUCUCUGCUGGUCUGCAGUGGCGCUCCCCUCCUCUCCUGGGGGCUGGCUGCUCUGCAUUGGCUCUUUUGUCCUUGGUUAGUCUGGUUUAAGUUUGUGGUCUUAGAAUUAGUCUGAUGUAAAUGUACUGAUUUUAUUCAUCAUUUGAGAGAACCUGAUUAUAUUGAUUUUCUCUAAUGUCUAUUGAAUUAUGUUUGAUCAUCUUUGUUUUUUGUUCCUUUUGUUUAUUUAGGUUCAUUUUGCUUUUGUUAGAUAAUCGACUUAGGCCCAUUCUUAUUUUCUAAUAUGUUUGUUGCUAUAAACUUUCUUUUUUGCAUUGCUUUACUUAUAUAAAUAUGUCACACUUUCAUUUCAUUCAUUUAAAAUAUUUUCUGGUUUCCCCUGUGAUUUAUUCUACGUGGCGUUCAUUUAGAUGUGUGCUGUUUAAUGUGAAGUAAUGAUGUAUGCUGGCAGAUUUCUUUUUGCUGCUGAUCUCUAGUUAAUUCUGUUGUGUUCAGAGAAUGUAUUUUUCAUGAUGUCCACUCUCACAGAUAUGUCUGUGGCCUUGCUGUCUGUGUGUCCACCUCGGCGCGUCCUCCAGGUGCGCUGACUUGUGCAACAGGGCACCCCCCAUGUGCGCUCAGGUUGCACUCAGAGGCGUGUUCUCCUCACCUGAGUCCUUGCCCAUUUUUUGUCCACAACUGUUGACUGGGGGUGCAGGGUUGGGGGUCGACUCGGGACUCCGCUGUGGGUUGAGGUUCCUUCUUGCAGUUGUCAGUUUGUGCACCUGUGUUUCUGGGGCUGGGGGAUGCGGGUUCCCGUGUGUUUGGGUCUGUUUUGUCUCUUCUCCAGGUUGCAGGUGUCCUGCCUUUGGCUCUACCUGGGAGGAGUGCAGCUGCUCUGGCUCCAUGCGAGAGCUUUCGAAGACGUGAUCUUGCGUAUCAACAGCAGGGCUUUGGAGUAGUUGUACAGUGGAGUCUUCCCUUCCUCUGAUUGGACAGUCUCUGUUUUCUGAUUGCAGUGGUUGAGAUGUGCUGUCCGCCAGAGCCUCUGGAGAUAGCGGGAGUGUUGUGCUGUGUGCACACGUGGCUGUGGCGGCCGAGGAACUGGAUUUAUAAUGGUAUUCAAUCGCAGUAUAGUUCAUGCCAGCUCUCUGCCCCGGCUGGCGGCUCGGGCCUGGCCGGGCACGUUGGCUCCUUUAUCUUUAGUGUGAUGCUGUGUGUUUCUGUUUGAAUCUGCCGCCUUGGUGUUUGCCCCCUGCAUUGCCCUUCUGUCUCUCUCCCCUGCCCCUGUCCUGGAGUAGUGAGUGCUGCUCAGGGUUGGUGUCACUUCUCUGACCCACUGCAGCUUCCCCUGCCUCCCUGUGCUCUGCAGUCUGGAGUGGCUUCAGUCUGGGGGGUCUGGGCUGGCCCCCUUUUCUCCAUCAGCCCUAAACUGUCCUCUGCCCCGAAUGAGAGCGGCUUAGGUGGGAAUUGUGUGGCUCCUUUGUCACAUCAGAGAGUGGCCACCUAUGGCUGUGUGACCUGGGAGGGCAAGGGGCAGAGAGGAGGACUGCCCUUCCACACUUUGUGUGCUGAGGAGGUCACUCCACAGCACAUCCUCUCUUAGUGAAUGCUGACAUGCGUGUGUUGGGUGAAGGGCAUCUGUGCUGUUGAGGCAGAGACCCACAGGAGAUGGGGCACGUGUCGCUCCUGUACCGCAGUCCAGCCAGGCCAGGUGGGCAGUGUGCGCCCUCUCCCCAAGGGUGCUGUCCUUCAUCUGCGUGGUCACAGCAGAGUUGCACCCCACGGCAUCCCAGCCAGGACAGGAGGACUGAGUGAGAGGCAGCCGUCGGGUGGCUGUUUCUUUUAAGCGUGUGAGAGGGAGCUCGCACACUUCACUUCUCAAAUUCUGGGGUGGUGGGUCAUGGGGAGCGAGAGUCAACCUCUUUGAUUGCAAGGGAGGCUGGGAAAUGCCCACAGCUAUGUGGCUACAUGCCCAGGAUUUCAGAGCGAUGGCCCACAGUGCCCUAGCUUGCAUGGCCAGGCGGUCUCUGCCAGUGUUCCCUGUGGUGUUGCUCUUGUCUGCUGAGAUGGGGACUCUGCACAGGUGUCCUCCCCAGAUUUUGGUGGAGGGCAAAGAGCCAAUCCUGGGAUGGACGCUGUAGCUGUCUUUGCUCUGUGUCUGGGCCUUCGGGCCUCCAUCUUCAUCAUCAACACACAUCUCUCCCCUCCUGUGAUGACUGCACCCCGGGGUGCCAGCUGGCAACCCUGCCUUGGCUCUGCAGUCCGGCCCUCCUGUUUUCCCUGUGAUCUCAUUCUCCGGGUCCCCCAGCAGGGUCAGAAGUAACCCAGUGCUUCUGCUGUGUGCCCAGAUGCCUGUGCUCCCCCUGGGGGCAGGGCCUCCUGGGCUGCCCACACCUGUGUUCUGCAUCAGGCCUUGGCAGCUUGGACCCUGGACCAGAGCUGGGUUGCACACCUCUCCCAUGCCAGCCAGGACACACUGGACGGGUCCACGACCUCCAGCUUGCUGGGCCACCAGGGCUCUGCAGUGACCGGGCGGCUGCACAGAACUUAGAGAGCCCCAAGAGCCGUGUGCUCCUGGGUGUAGCCAGGCUGGCCCCUGGGCUCUCAGCUCAGCUUUCUGGAUGCAGGCCACCCCCCAUCCCCCAGCCCUGGGCUCAGUGUCCUUCCACCACAUGGACACCUCUGAUAACGAGGCAGAUGGUGUCUGCCCUCGGUGCCAAGCUCUGCCCUAUGAAGGCCGGCCUCUGGCCCUUGUGGGGAGUGCUGAUCCAGCCCUGUGGCUAUGGAGCCUUGUUGCUGUCUCCCUGGUUGCCUAGAGGCAGCAUCUGCAGCCCGCCCAGCCACUGCAUGCAGGGCUGUGUGCCUGGAAGAUGUGUUCCUGUGGGAGCGGCAGUGCCAGCACCAGGUACUGUGUCGGCCAGGGCCGAGCUAGUGAGCCACAACACUUGCUGGAAGAGGCUGUCCCAGCCAUGGCCUUCAGAAAAAGAAAAGGGUGGGGAUGGAUGCUGCCCUGUAGCCUGGGGAGGGUCUGUCCCCUCCGGCAUAAACUGCCAUGUCACCUAAACUUGGGUCUUGUGGAGAGCAAGGGUGCUUGGAGCCAAAGAGCUCCUUGGUUUCUUUUUGCAGACAAUAAAAAAUGGGAGUGGCUGUUGUCUGCGCUUUCGCUCCAUGUCUUUGUGUAGGAAAACUGUCAUGAUCCCCCGUCCACAGCUGAGAACUUGAGGCUGUGAGAGCCCCCGUGACAGGUCCCAGAACCCAAGCCUGUGGAUGGCAGGCUGGGUUUGGGAGGAGAUCUCAGGCUUGGAGGGGCCUCCCCAAGGGGGUGUGUGUGGCAGUGGCGUGUGGUGGAGUCCUGCCUCCUAGAGCACUGCCAUGGGCUGUGGGGCUGCCCCUGCACGCCUCACCACACCACACUCACAGCCACUGAGGGCUUGUCUUGGAGGCCAGGAGGCAGCUUCUACUGCCCCAGUGAUCUUGCUACAGUUCUGCCCCAAGUGCCCUGCCUUGGCAGAUGGGGACCGUGAGUGUUUCCUCUCCAUGUUUCCUUACUGGUCAGCGGUCACUCCUCCUACUGCACUCUUCAGCUGCCCUCUGUUCUGCCUCGGCUGCCACCUGCACAUGUUGGUGCCAUGUCGGCCACAGGGGUGGCCAGGACUGACCAAGCUGGGUGGGAGGGAGCUGGAGCCGCAGUGAGCCAAUACAGAGGAGUGAGGCUUCCUUGAGGCAGCAGAGGCAGGCAGUCAUGAGCGGAAGGGGGCAGGCGUCUCUGGAUGAGGGGGCUCAGGAGGACUUGUGAGGGUAAGGGCACAAGGAACUGUCCUCAACCGGGAGGUGCUAGUGAGAACUGGCCCAUCUGGAAGGCAGGUCUUGUCAGGCUUCUCAGGCUCCCUGUCCUCCAUAGUAAGUCCUCAUCUCCUGGAGGCUGACCACAGCACAGGGCCUGGAGCUGACUUUGACCACCAGGAGAAGGCACGGUCAGCCUUGACCAGAAGGGCUGUGUGGACUUUGGCCUGGGCCAAAGUGAAGGUGGGCUUUGAGGAGACCCAGGCAGAGUGGCACAGCCCAGGGAUACAUCGGAAGGAAAUGUCAGGGCUACCAGGUAAUCUCCCUGGCUUUGUGGUGUGGAAGGGUUGCUACCUCUCCCACCCUGCUGGGGAGGAAACUGGGCUGGGGCACUGGACCCCUGCUAGGACUGCCACCUGGGACUACUGGCUCAGCUGGGGAACAGCCCCCCUCGCCCUUCGGUCCUGCUGUGGCUCUUCCUGUGUCUGACUCUACUUCUGAUGCAGGUUGGACCUGGUGGCCAGCAUGGCCACUCUAGUCGUAAGAGACAUUUAUCCAUCGCCUGCAAAGACCUGUCCAGGCCUGCAGGUGUGCAGCAUGAGUGCUGUGGGUGUACGGCACUGGGUCUGCUGGCAGACAGGGUGGGAGGCGGCCUGGAGGGCUCCCAGAUCAGGGAUAGUGGGGUGGCCAUGGUGAAUCGUGCGUCCCUGCUCUGAUCCCUGGUGUUUUAGUCAGUUUUUUUUUUUCUGCUGUGACUAACAGAUCUGAUCUGAACAAUUAUAGAGGAGGAAAUGAUUCCAUGAUCUCAGAGGUCACAGUCCAUGGACAGCUGGCUCCAUUCCUUGGGGCUUGAGGUGAGGCAGAACAUCACAGUGCAAGAAUAUGGCAGAGGGAAGCAGCUCACAUGAUUAUCAGGAAGCAAAGAGAGAUUCCACUCACCAGAUAACAAAAUAUAUACCAAAAGCCAUGCCCCAAUGCCCACCUCCUCCAGCCAUACCCUGGCUGCCUUCAGUCACCCUCAAUUCAUCCCCUCCAGGGGAUUAAGUCACUGAUUGGUUUAAGGCUCUCAUAACCCAAUUAUUUGUCCUCUAAACCUUCUUGCAUUUUCUCAAGGGUACCCCACUGGUCACUUCUCAAGAGAAUUUUUGGUUUUACCUCCUUGAAUCUGAGAAGUGUAUGGUCUUGUCAGCUCCUGAGAUGCCCUGAGGCCAUCUUUCUCCUUGUCUCUGGGCAAAGUCUUUCGCAUUUCUUUAGUGGUAGUAAUGUUUUUAAAAACUGCAACUUACUUAGUCCCAGUUUUACCCUCACCUUCAAGUUUUUUUCAAGUGUCCUAAUUAUCACAAUAAUUUGGCUAAAAGCCUCCAACAAUAUCUUAUGCUGAAUGCUAUGUGUUCUCUAGAAAUUUCCUCUGCCGGAUUAAAAAGUCCACUGUUUUUAAAAUCAGUCUCACAGAAUGUCUCAAGACACAGGCAAUAUGCAGACAACUUCCCAGCCAGAACGUGACAUAAGUAGUGUCCUUCUUUUCCUCGAAACCUCUUUGAGUCCUAUCUUCAUUAUCCAUGGUACUCCUGCUGUUCUGGUCUUCUGAGCUCCCCCCACAAUUGGCCAUUAAGUUCCACUUACCACUUCUAAACCAUUUCCAGCUUGUACUGCUAAGCAUCUCAAAAUUCCUCCCACCAAUUCCAGAAAGCUCCAAAAGUUUCUGAACCAUACAGUCAGGUUAGUCACAGCAUCAAUUUCUGUUCUACUCAGCUUUUUCACUGCUGUGAUUAACAGAUCUGACCAGAACUAUUAUAGAAGAGGGAAGGUUUAUUUGGGGGGCUCAUUCAGAGGUCUCAGUCCAUGGAUAGCGGGCUUUAUUCCUUGGGCUUGAGGUGAGGCAGAACAUCAUGGUGGAGGAAUAUGACAGAGGGAAGCAGCUCACAUGAUGAUCAGGAAGCAAAGAGAGAAGUCUUCACUUGCCAGGUACCAAAUAUAUACCCCAACGCCACACCCCAAUGUCCACCUCCUCUAGCCACGUCCCACCUGCUUUCAGUUACCAAUCAAUUAAUCCCCACCAGGGGAUUAAUUUACUGAUCCGUUAAGGCUCUCAUAACCUAAUUAUGUAUCCUCUAAACUUUCUUGCGUUUUCUCACACAUGAACUUUUGAGGGACGUCUCACAUCCGAACCAUAACACCAGAGGUUCCUUAGCAGUGAACAGUGCCCGGCAGUGUUGCCUCAUGAGUUGGCUGAGGGGUGGCAGUGAGGAGGAUGCCUGAUCGCUGGGGUCCUGCCUCCUCCCAGGACGGGUGCUCUUUGUACAGCAGCUCUGGCCACCCCUCCUCCUCCAGCCCUGAAUUGAAUCCUGCAGAAUGGACAGCCACCUUGGGCCUUGGAGCCUGCCCACGUGACUAUGGUAGUUCAUGCACAAUACUUUGGCUGAAAGCCUCCAACAGGUAAUUUGGAAGGGGCAAGGGCAGCCCCCAGGACUGGAUGGUUGACAUUUUCCUUCCCGAGGUCAGACCCCCUUUCUGGUGGUGUGACCUUGGGUGGGUGGUGUGGCCUUGGGUGGGUCUCCUGCUUCUGCCCUGGGUCUCUUUAUCUGUAAGUGGGGAGAGUGGCACUCUGGUUGUUGGGCUCCUUCUGUGUGCUUCUGCUGGAGAGUGGUGGUCCCUCCUCCACCAUGGGCACAGCUCAUCCUGUCCUGUCCCUUUCUUUGCUGCCCUGGCUGUGUCCAUCGUGAGCCUGGGCUUGGUGAAGGCAUCGCGGGGCUCCAGCGCCUUGCAGGUGCAGCAGUGGUGUGUGCAGGGUUGUCAGACGCUGUUUCUCAGGCCAGCGACAUGAGUGGAGCAGCCUCGCUGUGCUUCCAGGCUGUGCUGAGUACAGCAGCUGGACCUGGGGGCUUGGCAGGGGAGGGACGUGGCAGGCCUGUGAGCCUAGGAGCUGGUGCCUCAGCAGGGUGUGCUCAUUCUAGAGAGGCAGGGCCGACCCUGCCGUGGUCCAGCCAGCCCUGUGACUCUGUGGAGUGGGCUUGGGCCUGUGGCCUAGGGAGAAACCUCGUCAAGCCCAGGAGGGGGUACUUUGUUCUAGGCUCGUAGGCUGGCUCAGAGAGCGCAGACCUUUGGGUGUUCCCUGUGCUAACCAGCUGCUCAUUGCUGUAACCAAGAACAGCUAUCAAGGACAACUUAGAGGAGGAAAAGUUUACUUUGGCUCUGGGUUUCCGAAGUCAGCCAACUGCAUUGCUCUGGCCUGAGGUGAGGCAGGACAUUAUGGCAGAAGGGAGUGUCAAAGGGAAGCUGCUCAGCUCUUGGUGGCUGGGAAGCAGAAACAGAAGAGGAGCCAGGAGGAUAAGAUAUAUCCCUCUAGGGCACAUCCUCUUCCAGGCACACCCCACCUGCCUGUGGUCAACGCCCAGUAAUCCAUUCACAUUAUUAGUCCACUAAGUUACAGCGCUAAUUUAAUCUCACCAUUUUACUUCCUGAAUUAAUACAGGAGCUUGGGGGGGGGGGACAUCUCACAUGCAAACCAUAGCAUUCCACCCUGGCCCCCCAAAGCUCAUGUCCAUCUCACAGUGCAAAGUACACUUAGUCCAUCUCCAAGAGUCCCCAUAGUUUAUAUUUCCAGCAAAAGUCCAAGGUCUCCUCUGAGACUCAAGGUAAACUCUUGCUUGUGAGCCAGUGUAAAAAUCAAAAGCAAAUUAUAUAUAUCCAAUAUACAUUGGCCUAGGAUAAAUAUUCCAGUUCCAAAAGGAAGGCUCAGAGGCCUACAAAGAAGGCUGGGACCAAAAGAAGAUCGAAACCCAGUUAGGCAAAAAAGUGCUGUAGCUUCCUGUCUGACUUCUGGAGCACCCAGUGGUGAGAUCUCCUCUCCGCAGGGUUAGGCAGCCGCCUCCGUGGCCUUUCUUACCCACGUGGCUUCUCUAGGCCUGUUCUGACCACAGCCAGAGCCUUCCUUGGCAGGUGUUGCAUGUUAUUGGAUCUCCUGGGGGUAUCCUGGGGGUCUCCUGGGGGUAUCCUGGGGGUCUCCUGGGGCGUCUCCUGGGGGGGUCUCCUGGGGAUCUCCUGGGGGUCUCCACUACAGUUUGUGCUUCAUUGUCCUGGCUUUGCACAUGGUCCUCUCAGGGCCAGCGGCAGGGAUUCUGACCCUGCUGCCCUUGUCCUCUCAGGCUUUCCUUUGAAGUCCAGGGGAAGCCUCUGGGCCUCCACCUCCAGCAUUGUGCAUUGCUGCAGAACCAGCUCCACAUGGAUGAUGCCAAAGUCUGCUGCCAGGUUAAGCAGUAGCUGGGUUCCCUUGGACCAUGGCUACAGUGUCCUGGGAGUGCCUGGGCAGCCAAACCCCGUGAAAUGAAUCCUGGGGAAACAGCUUUCUAGGUCCCCUGUGAAAGCAGGGUGCCUUUGUGAUCUCUUUCACUUCUGCACCCUUGAACCUGCCAUGGGCGUGGUGUUCUAGUUCCUGAGAUGGCCUCACAGCAUUGUCCUAUUGUCUCUAGGCAAAGUACUUAGUUUCUCUUUAGUGGCAGUCAUCUCUUCAACACCCACAUCUUCCUGAGCCCUAAUAUUACGUGUUCCUUUGGCCAAACUGCAAGUUUUUCAGAUCUUUUCUUUCUGCCUUGUGUUCUUGAUUCUUCUAGUAAACCUGGCUAAAAGCUGCUGGCAACAUCCGAGCCACUGCCUCAAAGCUGUGGUUUUAAUUUUAAUGCUGCCUAAGUUUCCUUCCACCAGAUUAGUGAGUCCACCAACUGUAAGUUCAGCCUUACACAAACUCUCAGGACAGAAUGGAGACAACUUUUUUUGCCAGAAUGUAACAUGAACAUCUCUAGUCCAGUUCCCAAUGGAAUCCUCAUUCCCCUCUGCAACUCCAUGAGCGUAGUUCUUACUGUCUGCGUUCCUAUUGGGGUUCUGGUCCUCUGGGCUCCCACCAGAAGCACUUUAAGCUCUGCUCACAACAUUCAGAGCUUUCUCCAGCCUGCAUCUCUAAUCUUUUCCAAACUCCUCCUAUGAACAAGUUCCAAAGGCUUCUGAACCAUAUGGUCAUGUUAGUCACUGCAGUGACCCUACUCCUGGUACCAGUUUCUGUGUUAGUCAGCUUUCCAUUGCUGUGAACAGAAUACAAGGACAGUUUAGAGGAGGAGAAGUUUAUUUGGCUUACAGUUUCAGAGGUUCCCAUGGCUAGCCAAGUCCAUCGCUCGGAUCCCCAGGUGAGGUGGGGAGCAUCAUGGUGAAGUGCACUGUGGAGGGAAAUUGCUCACAUCAUGGUCGCUGAAGGAAGGAGUAGUCAGAGGACAAGAUAUGAUCCCCAAGGAUACACCCCCUGGUGGCCUACUUUUCCCAGCCAUGCCCCAUUAUUAAUCCAUCAAGUGAAUUAAUCCGCUGAUGGGGUUAUCGCUCUUAUGAUUCAUUAUUUCCCCUGCUAUGUCAACACAGGAGCUUGAGUGGAUACCUCAUAGUUGAACCACAGCAACCCAUUGGCAUCCUGGUGUCUCCUGCCCCACAUGCCCUGGCAGACCUCGCUCCGUGUCCUUCAGUCUUAAGUGUUUUAUCUUGGAGACUUGUGAGCGCAGAGAAGGUGGAAAGGGUUGCAGUGUGACCAUGGGUGCACCACUGCCUAGAUCCCACCUGCUGCCAUCCCAGCUGGCCCUCCUCGUGCCUCUGAGCCCUUUGGAGCAGCUGAAGCCCUCGGGUCUCCUUUCACUUCCUGGUUACUGCCUCUCCUUUCCUUUUGAGGUGAACUUUAAGUGCGUGAACUGCAGGCAACCAAAUGGUACUAUUCUGGGCCUUUUGGCAGAUGCCUGCACUGUGUUGCCCACAGCCCUGUCCAGGCACGGGGCCUCCCCUAUUCAGCAAGUCCCUGGUGCCCUGCCCCAGCCCAGCCCAGCGUAGCCCCAGCCACCAUAGACUGCUUUUCUCUGUUGGAGAUCUGACCGUGCACUCUGACGCCUGGCACAGUGUCACGCCCAGGGCGCCCCCGCAGGCAGGGCACACGUGCCUGCCAGUCUCCUGCAUCCCCUGCACUUGCACCUUCCAGGGUGGGCUCUUAGGAAUAGCUGCCACGGACUCUCUUACCCAGGGUUCCUGCGGCCUCGGCUUUGUUUCUCUGUGUAGGUGUCCAGAGUGUGAUGGCUGGCCGCAGGGCAGCAGGUGUCCUGGUGUCUGUGGCCGAGACCUUCGUUGCAUGGCUGCACAUUGCACAGUCACCCAGCAGUGCGCAUCUGGACACUGUCUUCCCCAGCACUUGGAGUUUCCCCACGUCGAUUUCUGUGGUUUUGUUACAUUGAGAUAAAAGUGCUUAGCACAAAGCCUAUGAUGGACUCUUAAAGUAUGCUAGUCACGGACCCUUGGUGCGGUCACAGGGUUGUGUGGCCAUCUCCACCUUCCCACUGCAGAGCGUGUCCAUCCACCGGGGCAGCUGGGCCUGUGCUAGCGUCACCGCCCCCUCCCAGACUGCUGGCAGCCGCCGUCUCCAUCUCUGUGGGCUGCCACCUCUGCAUGUGUGGUGUGAAUGGGAUCACACAUUUGGUGGCAUCUGUCCCCAGCCUGGUGUUUGGAGGACUCGUUCCUCUUACUGCUGAGCAGUGGAGCAGUACUCUGCAGUGUAGCUAGGCCCCGUCUUUGUCCUUGCUGGUGGCCUGACGGCAUGCGGGAAGUCUCCUCCUUCCCACCUAGCAGCGCUGCUCUGAGCCUUCUUGUGUGAGUCUUGUGUGAAUGGGAGUCCUUAUGUGCGUGCCCAGGAGGCUACUGCUGGGGUGCGGAGCCUCCACGUCCCCUCUCCUUGAGGAGCCGCCUCUCCCCCCAGCUUGGGUCCUGGGAGGGCAGGGGUGGUAUUUGUCCUGACCCUUUGCCUGUGGAAGCAGAGCUGGAAGGCAGGAGGGGUGGCGUGCAGGGCAGCUGGGCCUCUGGCUCCCUCCUCUGGGAACCACCUGGAGAGGCUGGAGGGGCCGGUCAUACAGGCAGCAUGGUCAUCUUGUGCCUCCUCUUCUCCUGUCUUCCUCUAGCCACACAGGUUGUUCCUCGUGACCUCCAGGAGCUGAGCCAGGAGACCUCAGCCAGUGUCUUCCAAAUCCACUCCAAUGGUAUGCCAUCUGCCUGCCCCCUCUCUCCUGGCUGCUCUGGGUCACUGAGGUGACAUCGGAGGCUAGCUGGUACCUGACCUUGCCCUGCCCCUACUGUCCUGCCUUCCACAGUCCCAGGUUCUUGGGGGCAGCUGGGGGCUGCUUGCAUGUCCAGUCAGCUCUUCUCCUCCUCGAUCCUGUCCCACCCUGGCUCUCCUCACUGGCUCUGUGGCUGUAGGGAUCCCUGGGAGGAAGGAGUGAACCCCGAUGGCAGGGCUGGUGGAACAGAGAUCACUGAGGCUAGGAUGGGGAGCAAGAGCCACACCCCAGACAUCCCUGGGAGAGGGACAGGCCUUCCCCAGGCCCAGGUGGGCUUGCUCUGGGUGGACUGUACCUGGGCCUGGGCCUGCUCCGGCACAAUAGGGGAGAAGGUCCUGUGGGGGUUGGGUAGGCCUCUGCUAGGAGGGGUGGACCCAGCCUGUAGGAGGCUGCUGUGCCCUGGUGUCAGGUCACAUAGUGGUCUGGCUGUCUCUGAUGCAGGGCCCAGUUUCCACUAUGGCCACGCAGAGGGCAAUGGGUUGGGGAGGGUCCUUCUAAUCCUUGUGCUUUUCCCAUCUUUUGUUGGACAGUGACCUCCUUGGAGAGGAGCCUCCGGUCCUUGGGGACACCGAGUGACACACAGGAGCUUCGGGAUAGCCUGUGAGUGGCAACUGCCAUCCCUGCGCCUGUGCAUGGUGCCGCACACAUGCAGCUUCACCCUAAACUGCCUCUCCUGAGACGUGAGCACCCUCCCCCGGUGGGCGUCUAGGUGGAGUGGACGCUGCUGAGACACACACCUGUGCUCAGGUGGUGUGCGUGCCAGCUCGCACACGCUCCGUGUCACCAGCAUGCUCCAGGGGGUCUUUGCAGUGCCCCAGGCUCACUGACAGGCCUGCACAUAUGUGCACACCUGUGGACACACAGG
rnacentral:lncRNA from 1 species